UCCGCCGCGCUGGUGCUCUCUGCCGGCGGCAAGCGAACCACCACGAUCUCCCUACCAAACUACCCGCUCUGACCACCUCCACCUGAAUCCUCCACUAACCUCCUUAAGUCCUCACCACACAUCGCGCUCAGCGACAAAGCUGCAAUGAAUUCACAACGAACUGAAGAAAGACGACGGUGGUGAACUCAAGAUCUACUUGAGUUCCUCUCUCCGUGAAUCGUGACAAGGCACCACUUGCCUUCACCUCGAGCCAUUCUUAUUCUACUUCUCCUACCUAAAGCUAAACGCAAGCUCUUCCUAAAUCUAAUGUGACUCGGCUUUUUGAUAGAGCGAAACAAACUUCGAUUCAAAGAGAGGAACGCCUCAACCGCGGUCCACACCACAACUCUCAAGUCUCACCACAGUGCAAGAAACAAUCAAUACACAGGGAAGAAAAUAGCUUACCUACGACGGCAGCAGCGAGGGAAUCGUUGACGACGUUGAACUACACUUUGGUACCUUGAUAUCUCGCCUAUUUGACCUUCUUUUUGAUGUUAUUAUGAUCCAUGAUCGUUCGGUGGAAUUCACGUCGGCGGUUUCCGAUUUUGCGGUUCCUUCCUCCGGUUGAGCAAAAGUGUACACCGAAAGCCUCUCUGUUGACCAAGGUGUGUAGAAACUAGAGGGAGUUUUUCUGGUUUUCUGAAUGAGAAGUGGCGAAGUGGGUUGGUGCGUGAGGGGUAGAGAAUGGUGGAGGAUUCGGUUAGAGGUUGUUGAUGAUUACAGAAGAAUGUCCAAGAUUCAUUGUGUAUGAGAAUUUGUUAUAUACUGCAGAAUUGAGAGCGACGACCCCCGCUUCAAGGCCAAUCCAAUGGACUUUAUAGAGUUAUGUUGCAAUGGAUUUGGAUGAGUUUCUACGUUUUUGCUUUUUAGUUGCCGUUUUGGUGUUGUUGCCUUUGUAUGUGUUGCUUGUUACGCGUUUUAUGCAGGCUCACAUUUGCCCGACGUUCAUCUGUGGCUUGGCUUAAUGUCGGUGGCUCUUUGUAGUUGUGCGUGGAUUGUUCUCAUGAUGUCGUUUUUAGUUUAUGCAGGUAUUUUAGCAGUUGGUGGCUCGUUAUCGUUUCGGCGCUUCGACGUUGGCUUUUGACGUGUGGACUUUUCAACCUUUUCGCUUGUGGAUAGCAGCUUGGUGGCUUGUUGUGCUGCAUUGUAGUUGGUUUUGGAUUUAGCUUGCGGCUUAGCUCUGAGCUGCAUUUGGCGUUUAAAUUUCUUACACUAUGUUGGCUUAAGUUUUGGCGUGUUUCCUUUUCUUACACUGUGUUGGCUUUCGUUGCCGUAUUGACUUGUUGGUAGCUGUUUGUGCAACUUUGUACUUUGCAUUUUGCAGCUUUUUAGCUGCAUUUGGAAUGUAGCUUUUGGCCUCCUGGAUUAUGUUUGCUGCAGGAUACCAGUUAGAAGUGGAAACAUGACAAAACUAGAUUAGUAAAUUAAUUAUGGAUACAUGGAUAUUGGCUUUUAAAACGGUUUAAUGGAUUAAAGGAAAGAAGGAUUAUGUAUUAACAUUGGAUUUUUUAUUUAGAAAUUGUAAAAAUGAUUUUUUUGCUUAUUGAAUGGAUAAUGCUUAGAGUGAUAUGGACAUGGAUUUGGAUAAUGGGAUAUGAAAUUGGCCAAGUGGAUAUUUGGUUUGUACAUGGAUAGUUAUUGGAUAACCAAAGCGGAUCAUGGCCUUGCAAUUGGGCCUACCAAAAAAUGGAUUUUUUAACAUAAAAAAGGAUGAAUGGGCUUAACUAAUUAACAAUCAUGGCCCAUAGGAAAAAAGAAGAUUAAAACGAUAUAAACCUAAAAGUUAGUUCGACUUGUCACAAACCAACUAAAAAUAAAAUAACAACUUCUAACAAACAAGUUGGCAAAUACUAUCAAAAUGAUAUCCAAAAUUAAUUUGAACUUCGAAAAUUAACUUUAACCUCCAAAAUCACCUUUGAAUUGAAAUCAACAUGGACUUCAAAAAUCGAUUGAACUUUAGAACUAAUUUGGAGUUAAAAUUAAUUUGAAAUUAAAAUCAAUUUGGAUAAUGAUUAUGAUGCUAUGAUAAAAUGAUGAAUGCAUAUGCAACGGAUUGAUGAAUCCAAUUGACGCGACUUGUAAAUCGAAUUGAACCAUAAUCAAAUGAAUGAAAAUCGAGUCACUCAUGCACCAGAAACACAUGAAUUCAGGCCACGUGUCUCCUUGUGUUGAACCAUGCUUAUUCAAAUGAAAUGUAUGGAUGAAGAUGAUAUGUAAAUGUCUGGGUUUAGUGACCUAAAUGAUCAUUGUGAGGGGUAAGGCGAAUUUUUGGGUAUGACAGCUGCCCCUAUUUAAUCUUCUCGGACCUGAAUGUAUGGAUAGCAAUGACUUCCAAGCAAUCAAGGUAGGAGAUGAUUAAAUACUUGAAUAACAGGAAAUUUUCCCGUCAUGAACAAAUGGAAAGCAUUGUGAAGAUAGGUCACAAGGAAGUCUUCUUCACUGAGAUAUAUGGGAGAACAAACAUGUCUUUGCGCAGGGCAGUUGCUGGGAAUAGGAGUGUCAUUUGGUAAAUGGAUAUGUGAGGGGUUAGAUAUGCAUGACAUAUGCAAUAUGCUAAUGUAGUAUGAUUGAUUAUUUUUUAUUUUAUCUCUACUAAUAAGUUUUGUUUUGUUUUGAAGGGAUCGAGAAAGAACUUUCCGCUGGGAGAUAUCUUCUUGGUAAUUGUUCUCUUUUUGGAUGGUUUGCCAGGUGAAUCCCAGGAUUCAGGAUUACGGACGACCUUACUGAGACGACAGUAGGCGAAUUAGGAAGUAAGUAGUGGGUUGUCAACUCUGAGGUUGGGGACAGAAGCAAAAACAACACUGAUUGCUGUGGAUCGAAACAUUCCGACCUCCAUACUGUGACUGGGGUAAAGCUAGACCUUCUCAACUCUGUGGUUGGAAACAAAUGGUGAUCAACAUCGGUUCUGAGACUGGAGACAGGGUAGGCAUCAACUCUGAGGUUGGGUAUAAUGAUGGACAUCGACCCUAAGGUCGGGAACAAAGGUAGUAGGUGUCAACUCGGAGGUUGGGUUUGUAGUCAUCAACUCUGAGAUUGGAGAAUAAGAAAAUGAUACAACAGAUCGAAAGUUGGGAAAAAGGUAGCCAUUCCGCUCUGAGGCUAGGGAUAAAAGGUAGUCGUCAACUCUAAGAUUGGAAAAAGGCAGUCGUUCAACUCUGAGGCUGAAGAAAGAUAACUAUUCAGCUCUGAAGUCGGGGAAAGAUAGACAUACAACUCUGAGGUUGGGGUGUAACACGGUACUUUCACUCUGAAGUGUAAAAAGGUAGGUACUCAACUCUGGGGUCGAAAAAAGGUGAUCGUCAACCCUAAGGUUGGAAACAAUUAGGUCCUAAGCUCUGAGGCUAGAAAGAGAGACCCCUACUCCGAAGUUGAAAAAAUGUAACUGCCCAAUUCUGAGGUCGGGAGCAAAAAAUGGUAAACGUCAACUUCGAGGUUGGAAACAAGCAGAUACUCAACUCCGAGGUUGGGAGAAUACACGGUAAAGAAUAACUCUAACAACAACUCUGAGGUUGGAAAAGGAACAACAACUCUGAGUUCGGGAUAAGGAAAGGCAACAUACAACUCUGAGGUUAGGGUAAUAUGAUAAGCAACGACAACUCUGAGGUUGAAAAGGGGGCUACAACACUGUGGUUGGAAAAGGGAUAGCAACAUUGCGGUUGGAAAAAGGGAUGACAACACUGCUGUUGGAAAAAGGGACGACAACACCGCGGUUGGAAAAAGGGCUACAACAUUGUGGUUGGAAAAGGGGCUAUAACACUGCGGUUGGAAAAAGGGCUACAACAUUACGGUUGGAAAAAGGGAUUGCAACACUGCAGUUGGCAACACUACGGUUGGAAAAAGGGACGACAACACUGUGGUUGGAAAAGGGGCGACAACACUGCGAUUGGAAAAAGGGACGACAACAUUGUGGUUGGAAAAAGGGGACGACAACACUGGGGUUGGAAAAGGGGCGACAACUAAAAAGGGACGACAACACUGUGGUUGGAAAAGGGGCGACAACACUGCGAUUGGAAAAAGGGACGACAACAUUGUGGUUGGAAAAAGGGGACGACAACACUGGGGUUGGAAAAGGGGCGACAACACUGCGGUUGGAAAAAGGGACUGCAACACCGCGGUUGACAACACUACGGUUGGAAAAAGGGAACGACAACAUUGGGGUUGAAAAAGGGGCGACAAUAUUGCGGUUGGAAAAAGGGACUGCAACACUGCGGUUGGAAAAAGGGACGACAACACUAUGGUUGGAAAAAGAGACUACAACACUGCGGUUGAAAAAGGGACGACAACACUACGGUUGGAAAAAUGAGAAACAACUCUGAGGCUGUAAAUAAGAAAGGUUACCAUCAACUCUGGGGCUGGGAUAAGGAAAGGUGAACAUAUAAAUCUGAGGUUGGUUAAUGAGAAAAGUGACAACAACUCUGAGGUUGGUUAAUGAGAAAAGUGACAACAACUUUGAGGCUGGAAAAUGAUAACAACACUGAGGCUGCAAAAGGGCGACAACACUGAGGUUGGAAAAGAGGAAACAUACAACUCUGAGGUUGGAAAGGGGAUAACAACACUGAGGCUGCAAAAGGGCGAUAACACUGAGGUUGGAAAAGAGGAAACAUACAACUCUGAGGUUGGAAAGGGGAAACACAUAACUCUGAGGUCAGAUAUGAAAGGAGUAGACAACAACUUUGAGGUCGGGAAUAAGAGAAAUAGACAACAACUUCGAGGCUGGAAAGAAGGAAGAAGCAACAACUCGUAGGUUGGAGUGGAAACUGACAUCAACUCUAAGAUUGGGUAUAGGAUAGUCUCUCAACUCUGGGGUCAGAGGUAAUGGAAUCUAAAACUGAGUAAAGGGUGAUUAUCUAUAACUCUGCGGUUGGGGAAGAGAGAUAUCAAUACCGAAGGGUACCGAAAAAAAAGGUGAUAGACGCUGACGAGCGAAGGGAGAUCCAUACUGACGGGUAUUGAAAAAGUGAUAGACACCGACGAUUGUUGCUUGAUUGGUCUUUCUAAUUUGAGAGAUAAGGGUCUUGCCAAUGAGAAUUGGACUUUGCAAGAUGUUUGCCAAACAAGGUAUGGGCUUUGGCAGGCUAUGUCAAUUGGGCACUUUGCUGUAGAUACGAAAACCUCAAAGGGUCCCACAGGCACAACGACGGGGAUGAAGUUUUCGAAAUAUGGUUACCCUUCUCGGGACUCACCAAACCUACAUUGGGUAUUUUGAAACAAAUCAAAAGGCAAAGUCUUGAUAGAGACAACCCUUCUCGUGCAAAAGGCAACGAGGGGGAGACGUGAUUUCGUGCACCAAGCAACAAAAUAAACUCACGAAAGGAGAGUUAUCUCAAUGAAAUCAUCUCCAUGAAGGAGGCAAUAGGCUUACAGCAGGUAAGCAAAAAAGGAACAACUUCGAACAAUCCUGUCGGGGUUGCCGACUAGGAGCUUUACAAGGGUCAAAAAAGGUCAUUUGUUUUCUAUUAUGUAAUGCCAACGGAGUGGAUUAUGGAAAGAUGCUAACGAAAAUGGGCAGUUGAACAACGCCAAGAGAGCUUUGGGCUUGAUUCUUCCUUGUUAGAGAGAUGUGUGAAAUGUUGGAUAAUAUGUAUGAAUGAAAUGAUAUGAAUUAUGCAUGACAGAUUGAUGCAAUGAUAUGAGGAUCUACGAAUGCCCCAAUCUUGGGUACGGUGCAAUAAAUGUUGAGGAUGUUUUUUUGGGUUACAAGGAUUCUAAUUUAUGGAGGGUGGGUUCCGUCUCGCAUGACUUACCGACAUCUGACUUCUACUGUUGCUGGAGAAUGGACCUGACGUAGACAUGCGGAUGCCCCGGGAUAGAUCCGGAAAUGCCUUCUCAGGUAGGGAGAGAACCUUUCUCUCUUUGGAUCGUCUUGCCCCAAGUUGUUGGGUAUCUGCAAGGAUUGCCCUAAUCGCAGGUUAAGAAGCAACUUCGUCAUGGAUUGUCACCAUCAGAUCUGCCCUAGUGUAUGGGAACCACAUUCCUCUGAUUAACCAUCUUAGGGAGAUUGACUUCUUGUGCUCUUGGGGUGGCCUGCCCAAGUACGAGCCUUGAAGUAACUUUGCCUCUGGUUGGCUGAUUUUUGAGGGAAUGCCCCUGAUUCACUGAUCUUCAGAGAGAUUGAUUGAAUCUCGCCCCGACUACUUCAAAUUGACUGAAUCUUGUAGAGAUUUCUCGACGUGACUGCCUCUGAUCGACGAGAUCUCGAAGCAGUUUGUCUUUCUGCUCGGCAGAGUCUUCAGACAUUCUGAUUGAUGUGAUCAAAAGAGAAGUGGCUUUCCCCUGCUCAACGGAGGUCUCAGGCGUUUAGAACCAUCAAGUUCUUUCAUUGUGGCAGAUCUCUUGAUGUCAGGUGCUUACUCACGAGUAAGACAAGUCCAUUCUUGAAAUGAUAAUGCAAUGUCAUUUUUGUGCAGUUUUGAAAUCCAAACAUGCUCACUGAAAUUCUGACAUUUAAUGAAUGUAUCAUUGAUAACGAAUGUCACAUAUCAAUAUCAACACAUAUGAGUAAAUUGAUGAGGAGUCAGUUUUAACACAAUCGUUCUGACUAUAUUACGCCUUCGAAAUAAACCUUUGCUUUAAUUAGGUCUUUUGAGGGUUGUAACAUGGUCUGGUUCACGGUUUUUGAAAGAAAGGAUAUAAGGCUCGAACCUAACCUAACCUAACCCACCCGCUCUUCGUGAUGUUCUCUAGUCUUACGUUUAACUAGUUUGAAACAAACGCUCUUCUUCCAAAAGGGACUUGGGAGUGAAAGUUAAUGAACCCCAGAGGUUCUUGGUGUGGCAGUCAUGCACCUUCUAUUUGGUUUGGUAGCCACACGACUUUGCUCUUGCUGAGGAUUUUCUUUUGAUUCCUCUUAUGCAGAUUUUUUGAUUUUCCUACUUUUGCUGGAUCGGUUCAGAUUUACAAUCCACAUGGAUGCCCUAAAUUUGGCCUAAGUCACUCGUUUUCGAGCUUUCGACUUAGCGGGCUUUCUUUCUUUUUGUUUUUGUUUUCUCGUUCUUUCUUUGUUUCCUUUUGCUGAAACAAAUCGUGUGACGUCUGUCCAUUGAUUUGAAUGGGUUGUGACCGCCUCGUGCCUCUGUGGGUGAGGGACAACCAUUUGGAAUUUGGUGGUUUCCGACCUCUUAUAAGGGAUAAGAUAUGGUUGAUCCUCAGAUAGGACACUCCUCUUUUGAAGUUUGAACACUUGGUCAAACUGACUGACGGCUACCCUGCCCCGGUUUGAGAUUAAGGGUUUUAUAUUUAAGAAAGAAACUCCCACUCCUUGGCUCGAAGGGGUUGACUAGGGAUUAUCUUCCUUAUAUCUCCGGUGUUUGGGAUUUGAAACAAUGCCUUACAUCAUCAGCAAGGUUUUAUUCAAAAGCGUACGAGCAGUGAAUUCGUGUUUUUAAUUUCAUCAUCCUCCUCAAAAACCAAUAUUCAAAUAUUGAUAAGAUAAAGUAUGAGUGGACACGAAUGGGUCUAUUCAAAACAUGCAUAUUCAUUUCAAUGUCAUUAUUAUUCAAAAACAAACGAGUUUAUUACAAAUGAAUGUUACAAAUGACAAUCGAGAAAAUCACACAUGAACAUGAUUGAACCAGAAAUUGCUGAAAUGAUCUGCUUUAUUCUCCCACUGCUUGAGGUCUUGAUUUUGGAAAGAGCCGACGAGACAAUUCCACAGAUACCAAUCCUUUAAAUCUACUGUUGCUCUGACUACGACGCUGUAGAUGUACUUGCAUGCACGGGGUUGUUUGGAACAACUGGCUUGAAUGAUAUUGCUUUUGAGUAAAUCAAGUCUUGUACUUUGUGCUUGAAGACAUUGCAAUUCUCGAUCGAGUGCCCCCGCGUCCCAGAGUGAUACUCGCAACUGACGUUCAUGUCAUACCCAGGAGGAAGAGGUACAGGAGGAGCCUUAGCUUCUCUCAGUUGGACCUGCGAAUCUUUGAGCAAAUGAGCUAGCAGGAGACCAUACGGCAUGGGAACUGGAUCAAACCUUAUGGGAGGCCUUCUUGGUCCUUGUCUACCCUGCUGAUAGUAGUUCUGUUGUUGCGGAGCAACCAGUUGCUGAGGAGCGUAGGGCUGCUAAUAUUGCAUCGCUGGAGGACCAGUUGGAAUGACAUACGCUGGUUGCGGAUAUGGGUUAGGUGUUACUGCUGCCACCGGAUCGUAUGGCAUUUGGUAACCUCCAUCUCCCCCUUUAGUGAUUGCGCUGGUCUAUCCUUCCUUCUUCUUUGAGAAUCCGGAAUGAGGCUUCUUCGCUCCACUAGCCGCAACUGUUGUGUCUUGUAUCUUGUCGAUCUUCAAGUCAUUCUCAAUUCGCUCGCCGGCAAUGACCAAGUCUGAGAAUCCCGAGGUGGUACUCCCAAAUCAUUUUUUCAAAAUAUGACCCUUGAAGGGUAUUGUAAGACCCUAAUUUUGACCCUAAGAUCCCUCAUGGCAUCAUAUCAUUGCUCAGUGCAUUGCCUCAAGGAUCAUAGCAUGCUUGGCUCCUUAACCCUAAGUAUGAGACUUGUGUGAGUGGUUUGAGACUACCAAGCAUGCUUGUAUUAUAUAUUAUUGUUUUUCUUAUUUUGUUUACUAACCAAAAGCACAAAAAUAUGUCACUAACUCUUUUUGUUUUGAAGCUCAAGUGAUCAUGUGCUCCCAUGCUCCUAGGAGGCUCCUAAGCUCAAUGAUAUGGCUAGAUGAAGAUGAUAAAAAGCAUGACAAUGGUCCACAAAGUUCCUAAUCAUCAUAUCUGUCUCCCAAGUAUCUCAAUUUGCCAAUUUGAUCAAGAUAAACCAAAGGGCUUGAGGAUUGUUUCCCAAGGAAACCCUAAUUUGAAUUGUGCUUUGACAGUGCCUUGCCCAUGAAGCAACCUCAACCUAUGAUAAAAUUUAAUCAAGGGAAGUUCUUUCAUUCAUUAUUUUAUGCAUAUGUGAGUCUAUUUGAGGAUUCUCAAUCAUUCAUUCAUCAAGAUUGGAAGUUUGGCCUUGGAAAGUUGACCAGUCAAGUCAUCUGACUAAACUGAGGUCCACUAAGAUAUAACUUUUGAUGUGUUUGUCAAAUGAAGAUGACCCCAAGAGAAUAACUAUUCUUAAUAACCAUAUGAACAACUUUAAUGUUCAUCAAAAAUCCAUUUUAAUCUUUUAAAGUCAUCAAUCAUUUCAAAACAUUAUAGGUCAUUUUGAUUGAAACCCUAAUUUUUGGUCAACUUCCCAAGGACCUAACUUCCUUAAUUUUUAUGAUUUUGAGGUAAGACAAAAUGAAUUGGAAAUAUUAAGAUGUCUACUUAAAAUUUUAUGUUGUAUAAAAUUUCAUAAUCUUAAAAUAAAUACAUGUGAUAAUAAAAAACAUUAUAGGUCACCUUGGACCCAAGUCAUUGAAUUUGAAAAAGUACCUAACUUCAAGUGCCCAUAACUUUUUCAUGGAAAAUCCAAAUGAUGCAAAGUUUGAGUCUAAAUUGAUCAUCUUGAAAAUACAUACAACUUUUAUGUUGGAGGUUUUUUCAUUUGAGGCUUUCAUCAUGCAAACAGAGGGGCUUGAAGAGGCUUGCUUUUGGUGAAAAUUUUCAAAGGAUGACCUAGACAUGUUUUGUGCCCAAACUUUCACAGCCAGUUUUCAUUAAUUUUCAAAUUCCAAAUGAAUUUUUUCCCAACAUGACUUUUGUUCCUUAUUUCAAGAUCUUUCCAACCAUUACUCGCAUUACUUUUUUGGACUUUCCAUUGGUGAGUUUCGAAUAGUUCUUUCUCUAUGUUCAUUUUUGCAUUUCAUGUUGAAACUUAAUGUGCAAGCUGAUUACAUCACAAUUGCAUGUCCAAUUCCAUUUUAGUUGAUCUCAGCAUGGUUUAGCACCCAUCAUUGGGCCUAACAUGCGCCUGUAAAGGCCCAUGCACCAAAGUUCAAAUUUGCCAUGCACACGAGGGAAUCAUGAACUCAACCCUCUUCAGCUAUAAAUAAGCACUCAAUCUCAUUCAUUUGGUAACCUUGUGGAGACCUGAAAUACUGCAGCACUGAAAUCCCAACCAAUACCAAAGGAAUUUUCAGAUUUUUCUCUCUUUUCCAAGCUUUAAAUUCAACAUCAUUAAUUGAUUUUCAAAGCUCAAUUCCUUAGCCUAUCAUCUCCAUUACAUCUCCAGAGUAGCAAGGGAUCAAGAUCUUGAAGAAUUCGUGGCUUUAAGAGCUCUAUUUCAUAGGUAGAACUUCAAACUUUUUGGAUCUAGAUCUUGCAAUUCAAUGUAGUUUUCUUUGGUUUGUGUGGUUUUCUGAAGUCCUCACACUUGAGGCAGGCCAGAGGUGGUCUCAAUUCUUCAUUUCGUGCAUUUGCAGUUGAUAUACCAUGAUCUUUCAUCUCACAUUUCUCUCAAAAUAGGAAGAGUGGGAAAGAUCCAUGGAUAUAGUGGUGAUGUACAUCACCUGAGCUUCAUUUUGAUGUCCUUGUUUUUCAUUUUCGUUACAAAAAAUUUCUCUGCAAGUGGUGGUCGAAAUCUGGUAUCUCACCAGAGAAGAUGGUGGUUUACACCACCAUCACCACGUGGUUGCCUUCCGAGCCCUUGGAUUGCCAUGCAACGUUAUAAUCUUGACCACUCCUUAUGUUUACUUAUUUUAAUUCAACAUGCUGCGCGCUUGAAUUAUGUCUACCAUGCGUCCUCACCUCUGAGCCCUUGAUCUGUGCCAUGUCAAUUAAUAAGGUUGAUCCUGUUGCACUGGAUUUUUCAUCUUUUCUAUUUUCAUUUUAAUUUCAGUUAAUUCCUUUUAUUUUUAAAAAUUCAUAAAAAAAUUAUUUGAAGUCACAAAAAUAUGAGACCAACUCCAAAAAAUUUCUUGAAAAAUCUAGUUUCAUAUUUUGAUUUUUAAAUAUUUUUGUGAUUUCAUUUAAGAUUUUUUGUGAAUUAUUUGGUUUUUAAUAGUUUUAAUUCAUUUUAAAAUACUUUAUGAUAUUUGAAAAAUCCAAAAAUAUGUUCCUAACACCUAUGGACCAUGUUAAGUCAAUGAAUAAUAGUCUCAUCAAUUUCUGAUUUGAUUUGAGAUUUUAAUUCAUACUGUGUUAUUUUUUAUUGUUUUUAAUUGUUUUAAAAUAGUUUUUGAUUUCCAAAAUUGUUGAGAAAAUUUGUCAAAGUUUAUUUGACCAUGUUAGACCUAUGAGAAUUUAAUUGGACUUGUUGAAGUUGAUUUGAAUUAAAUUUGAGGUUUGACCUUAUUUUGAUUAUUUUUAUUUUGUAUUUUAUUUUAACUCAAAAAUACCAAAAAAUUAUGGUUGACUUGUUGACUUGUAACCUUCAUUUCUUUUCUGUUUGCCAUUGAGUGAUGAUGACUUGGUUCACAUUUGAUCAAUUGAAUUUGAUACUUGUCCUCCUUUUCCCUCCCUUUCAUCUUCAUCCCAUUCUUUCAUUAAUAACCAAUGAGUUAAUGUCUUAUGGUUGGUCUUGACAAAUGAGAGGUUUAACCUUCUUUGAUCCAAACCAAACUCAACUUGAUCCAUGAUCAAGUGAGUUGUUUUGUGUCUAAGAUAGGUUGCUUCUUGGUCAAGCAAAUAACCUAAAGUCCAUACAAGACCCUUCCCCUCUUGUUUUGGCAUGGCAAGUUUGUGGAGCUUGGCUUACUAGUCAUGAUCUCUAACUUGUGUUUAUUGGCCUAUAGUUUUAUUGACCGGCCUCAGAUAGGUGUGACUACUACAUUAGUCCACUUACGAUUGCUUAACAUAGCGCUACAUUGUCUUAUGACAAACUAACAUAACUUCACUAAUUACUAACUUUAAUUUGAACAUUUAAUUUCUUGCCCUUUACUUUUAAUGCCAUUUAUUUCUUGCUCAUCUAUUCAUAUUGCUUUUCGUUUUGCUCAUUUGAGCACAUAUUUUAUGUCUAUGUCAUUUUUCUUUUGCUCAUUUGAGUUCAUUAUUGUAUAUAAAUAUAUUGUUGUCUUGUGAUUGCUUUGUCUUUAUUUUGUGUGAACCUAAUACAAAAAGGAGAAAGGACUUAGAAUUAGGACAUACCUAUGCUUAAAGGAGUUCAAGAGCAACUAGGCCUCAUGCCUUUAGAAUGCUAAAUUUGUUGAAGAGUAACUAGGCCUCAUGUCUUUAGAAUGCUAAUUUCAAAGAUUGAUCUUAAAGUACUUCUCAUCCAAGCCUAUUCUUUGUCCAUUCCUCUUAUUGUGUGGUGAACUUUUUGAUCUUUGUUCUUGCGUGAUAGGGAUUCCAUCUUGAGAUAGUGAAAAGAUGACCAUUGUCAUGAGUAGCCAAGUUUAGAGAGACAAGUCAAAUGGAGAUCCUAGGAGCUUGAAUCCAAAUUGUUUGAUUGCUUGAUUGUGUGCUAAGUCCAAAGGAAAAGAGAAUCUUGAAUCAUCUCUAUGAUUUCAAGAAAAGGAACUCCAAGGGUUUAUCUUUUCUUUCUUAUCUUUGUAUGCUUUAGGACUAGCCCUUCUCUUCUUCUCCCCACUCUAACCCAAGCCAAAAAUCUUUUCUUCAAAACUUUGACUUUGUUUUAAAUUAGAAACCUAGGCCUUAUGCCUUUGACUUUUCAAACUCUUUUCAUAAAUACUCGUUGUGAAUAAACAUUAAUCCAACUUUGACCUUAUUUUGUAAAUAAAUCUAACUUGUAAAUCACUUCAAGUUGAUUUUGUGGUUCCAAUGGCCACCUUUGUUAAAACCUUUUCAUAAACAUUAGUCAUAGGUUUGAGUUAUCAUAGUGGUUGAUGUAAAUCUCACCUUAUCCUUAGUGAUUGGAUUAUAAGUCUUCCAUACUUAUUAUAGGGUUAACCCCUCACUAGUAUGUUGAAGCUUUCCUCACAUGGUGGAUUGUUGGUUUAGGUUGAGUUUUCUCCCUUAGAUAACAAAAGACCUUAAGGCUUUUGAUCAAAUCAAUUCCCCAAUCUUUGAGAUUUUUUACCCCGAACUACGAGGUUUUGAUCCUACCUUUNNNNNNNNNNNNNNNNNNNNNNNNNNNNNNNNNNNNNNNNNNNNNNNNNNNNNNNNNNNNNNNNNNNNNNNNNNNNNNNNNNNNNNNNNNNNNNNNNNNNNNNNNNNNNNNNNNNNNNNNNNNNNNNNNNNNNNNNNNNNNNNNNNNNNNNNNNNNNNNNNNNNNNNNNNNNNNNNNNNNNNNNNNNNNNNNNNNNNNNNNNNNNNNNNNNNNNNNNNNNNNNNNNNNNNNNNNNNNNNNNNNNNNNNNNNNNNNNNNNNNNNNNNNNNNNNNNNNNNNNNNNNNNNNNNNNNNNNNNNNNNNNNNNNNNNNNNNNNNNNNNNNNNNNNNNNNNNNNNNNNNNNNNNNNNNNNNNNNNNNNNNNNNNNNNNNNNNNNNNNNNNNNNNNNNNNNNNNNNNNNNNNNNNNNNNNNNNNNNNNNNNNNNNNNNNNNNNNNNCAUAGUCUUGUUGACUUGUGUGGAGUUAUUCCUUAGCAAGUUGACUUGCAAGCCCAUUCACUUGGUGGAGGUCUUGUUGGGAUCAAUAAUGUCACACGAGUAGUCGUGGUUAGGCAUUACUCUUUCCAAUAUAAACCUUAGAAGCCAAGGACCUUAGAUACCUAGCCCAUCUUGGCCUAUUUUAGGAUGUAGUGCGAAGGUCGUUCAAGUGUAAGAUUUGAUACGAUUAUUAUGCGAUACUAGACUCAUAAGAGUCUCUCUUGAGAAUAUUUUUGGAAUACGAGUAGUUGUUUUAUCCGAUAAUAUCUGAAAGAUGAGAUGAUGACUAUGAGGACCUUUUUAGAACAUGAUUGUCAGGUUUAACCAUAGUACACUCCUGUUUGGGUGGUUCUUAACCAAGACUUCAUGCUCGUGACUCUCAAUAAACCCUUGAUUCGCGGUUGAUACAUUCUUGUAUAUCCUUAAUAUCAAUGGAACUUGGGUGUUGAUAAGGUGUAAACCAUAAUCCACCAAAAUGGAUGAUUGAUAUUAACGAUAACUUGAGCCAUCCCGUGACCUUUGUGUGGUGUGACUUGCUUGAUCCUUGAGUGUGAUUGUUGCAUCCAUGCAUUCAUGCAUUCAUUCGCAUUCAUGUCAUCCACAAUAAAGAUUUUCAAGGAACUUAAGAGGUCUAUUUGCAAAUUUUCAGACAUGGAUAAGCAAAGAAGGAAUACAAAGAAGUACAGUUUCAGACAACCCAACUUGAAAGAGUUAAGGAGUUUGGCAUCUUAUUUAUUAUAGCCCUUGGAGUUCAAAGCUCGCCAUGGGAAGCUUCUAUCUAUUCUUUCUUCCAAGGUGGAUGAGGGUCUGAUGAGUGUGUUGGUGCAGUUCUACGAUCCUCUAUAUCGGUGCUUCACUUUUCCGGAUUUCCAGCUUGUGCCUACACUUGAGGAGUAUGCUUAUCAUGUGGGUAUACCUAUUCUUGACCAGUUGCCGUUCAGUGGUUUAGAGAAGAUUUCAUCUUCCCAAGAUAUUGCUGACAUGCUUCAUAUGGAUGUAUCUGAUAUUGUUGCUAAUAUGACUACCAAAGGUGGAAUUCAAUGUCUCCCAUCUGAUUUUCUAAUUGCCAAAGCUACCUUGUUUGGGAAGGCCAUGAGUAAGGAAGCUUUUGAAGCCAUAUUUGUACUCCUCAUCUAUGGGCUAGUGUUAUUUCCUAACAUCGACAACUUCGUGGAUCUGAACGCUAUUAGGAUUUUCUCUUCUCUUAAUCCCGUUCCGACUCUGUUGGGUGACACUUAUUUCUCUUUGCAUAUGAGGAAUGCAAAGGGUGGUGGUUCCAUUGUGUGUUGUCUGCCUCUAUUGUACAAGUGGUUUAUUUCGCACUUGCCUCAGACGCUUGCCUUCAAGAAGAACAAGGGAUGUCUACGAUGGUCCACGAGACUUAUGUCUCUCACUAAUGAUGAUAUCUCUUGGUAUAACCGUGUUUAUGAUGGUGUUCAGAUUAUUGACUCUUGUGGUGAGUUCUCCAAUGUACCUCUUCUUGGUACAUAUGGUGGAAUUAACUACAACCCUGCUUUGGCUCGCCGUCAGCUUGGGUUCCCCUUAAAGGAUAAACCUAACAACAUUUUGUUGGAAGGAUUGUUCUUUCAAGAGGGUAAAGAUCCCCAAAACUUGAAGGAUAGGAUGGUCCGCGCCUGGCGCAAAGUUCAUAGGAAAGGGAGGGUUGAGCUUGGUCCGAAGAAUUGUGUCGCUUUGGAACCUUACACCGCUUGGGUGAGGAGGAAAGAUCUUGAGUAUCAUAUGCCUUAUGAAUAUCCGAGACCUACUCUUAUGGUUAUGGUUGGGCCUUCAACCCUCCCUAAUCAAGGAGUAGAGGAGUUGAGAGACGAAGACCGUUCGCGUGCAUGGGUUCGUGAGCAUGAGGAACUUCUUCAACAACUCAGAGAUAAGGAUGCAGUGAUAGAGUUUCUAGAGCAUCAGGUUAUUGAUGAGCCUGAUGAUGUGGUUACUUCUCUUCUUCCUCACUCGUCCAGAUUUUGGAAGAGGAAGUAUGAUCAGUUUGCCAAAGGGAAAACCGAUAUGGAAGCAACUUAUGAGAGAGAGGUGAAGAGGCUUCGUGCAACUUAUCUUCCGAUCUCGAAGGCUUUGGAUGAUUGCUUCUAGGGCUCCAUAGGAUGUUUAUUCUCCUUUCCUCUUGUAUUGUAUUUGGUUACCAAAAUUGUACUACUUCUUUGGUGUAAAAAGUUUCCAAAUAUUAUUGCUAUGAGUAUUCCGUAUAUGUCUUAAAAGAUCAAUAUUUUCCAAAUAUUUGCAAAUAGAUCUCUAAAAAGUUCCUCGGAUUUAAAAACAAGUCAUAUGCACAAGUAUUGCAUGCAUCAUAUGCAUAAGCAGGUUUUGUUCCGAGCUCUUGAUCAGUGGUCUAACUCUUUGCUUUUCAUUUAUUUUGAAGACAAGCUGACGCAUCGGUAUAAUACCAGAGCAAAUCAUCUGAAGAUAAUGGAAUAUCUCGAGCAAGAGAACAGGGACCUGAAGGAAGAGAUCGCUAGGCUGACUGCAAUGAUGGAGUCAGUUCUGGCCGCGCAAAGUCAAGCUUCACCAACUCCUGCAACUCCUCCCGCGAGGACGGUCAUUUCUGAGGUAACUACUUCAACAGUGCCUGCUGCAACAGCCCAUUUCGCUUCUACUAUACCAGUUGGAUUCCCUUGGGGAAUGCCAUCCAACUUCAUACCAGAGGGUUUUGCUCCUACCCUUGCUUCUAUGCCGACAUCUAGCUCAGUCCUGUCUGUGCCACCUCCUGUUGUGCACACUCUUCCCCGUGUAGAAGAUACCAUUUAUCAUUCCGAGCCAUCUGAGGGCCCAGACGUAUAUGAGAAGAUGGAUGAAAUGAAAGAUCAAUUCUUUGAGCUACGCAAGGAACUGAAGACUUUGAGGGGUAAGGACCUCUUUGGGAAAAGUGUUGCUGAGUUGUGCCUGGUGCCCAACGUGAAGAUCCCUAUUAAAUCCAAAGUGCCUGACUUUGAGAAGUAUAAGGGAAAUACAUGUCCACUCAGCCAUCUUGUGAUGUAUGCUCGCAAGAUAUCAACACAAACUGACAACGACCAACUGCUGAUUCACUACUUUCAAGAUAGCCUGACAGGUGUUGCGCUCCGGUGGUAUAUGGGGCUGAAGAGUGCAAGCAUCCGCAUUUUCAAUGAUUUAGGCGAGGCCUUUGUAAAGCAGUAUAAAUAUAAUAUGGAUAUGGCUCCAGACAGGGACCAAUUGAGGGCAAUGUCCCAGAAGGAUAAGGAGACAUUCAAGGAAUACGCCCAGAGAUGGCAAGAACUGGUAGCUCAGAUAGUGCCACCCCUGGAAGAGAAGGAGAUGACAAAGAUCUUCCUGAAGACUUUGGGAUCUUUCUAUUAUGAGAGAAUGAUUGCUAGUGCUCCCUCAGACUUCACCGAAAUGGUGAAUAUGGGAAUGAGACUAGAGAAAGGGGUCCGUGAAGGACGUUUAUCUCGAGAUGAUGGUUCCUCAAUAAAGAAGCAUAGAGGCUUUGCUAGGAAGAAAGAGGGAGAGACUCAUGUUGUGUCCUCUCAUGUUAAAAGAAGGCCCUCUAUGAGGAGGAAGGAUGUACGUCCAACUGUCAACCAACACCAGGUGGCUCAUAUAGCACCUGCUUUCAGAGAAGUUCAUCAACAACAACCACAACAACAAUAACAUUGUUAACAACAAGAGGCUUACCAGCCCCGCAACACUAACAACACCAACACCAUCAACUAUGAGAGGAAGAGGGUGACUUUUGACCCGAUUCCGAUGACUUAUAUCGAGCUUUAUCCUUCCUUGAUCGAUAGGAAGCUGAUAACUCCUCGUGAUCCUCCUGAUGUUCCAGCCAAUCCUCAAUGGUGGUACAAGCCUGAACUCCAUUGUGUAUAUCAUUCUGGUGCUCUAGGACAUGAUGUUGAGAAUUGCUAUCCAUUGAAGACCAAGGUGUAGGACCUUGUGAGGAGUGGGAUACUAUUCUUCGAGGACGUAGGCCUGAAUGUAAAGAAGAACCCAUUGCCCGAGCAUGGGAAAGCAUCUAUUAAUAUGGUUCAGGGGUGCCCUGGAAAAUACAAAGUCCUUUAUGUGAAUGACAUAAGGCAAUCCUUAGUUGAGAUGCAUAAGUUGUUGUGUGAACACAACCAUUAUGAGCAUGAUCAUGAUAGGUGCCAGGUGUGCACUAUCAAUGAGAGAGGAUGUCGUCAAGUGAGAAAGGACAUCCAAGAGAUGUUGGAUCAAGGGAUGAUUGAGAUACUUCAGAAUCGUAAUGAGGACGAAGUCGAUGUUAUCACUCCCGUGUUUAAGAUUCCUGAGCCUGUUGUUAUCAAGUAUGAUGGCAACAAGAAGAAAGUAUCGCCAACACUUGUGAUCAAGCCAGCGGGUCCUGUCCCGUAUGUAUCAGACAAAGUUGUUCCUUACCGAUAUAACGUUGUUAUGCUGGAGGAUGGAAAGGAGGUGCCGUUUGUAACAACCCAAUUUUUAGUAUUUAUUUAUUAUACUAUUAUUACUUUUGUGAAGUGUUAAUUAAUUAUUUAGUUGAUAGGAGAUAUCAUGAAUAAUUGAAUUAAUUAACUUGGUGGAUAUAUGGUGUUAGUUUAAUUUAUUUGAAUUAAAUAGAGAUAUUUAAAUAUUAGGUAUUAUUGGCUAUUAAUUAAAUUAGAGUAUAUGAUUUAAGCCAAAAUGAAUACUAAUAUAAAUAGUAAGAGGUGAGGAAGAGUGAGAUAUUGAGGAUUUCAUCUUGAUCAGUUGAAGGCAAUAGAGAAAGAGGAGGAGGAAAAAGUAAAAAGAGAAAGCUAGGGUUUCCAGAAAAUUGACCGAGGUAAAGGGGGGAAUCUUAUUAUUAUGGGUUAGUAGAUUGGCCGUCAAUGGGUAGAAUGUAUGUUUAGGUUAAAUCCCUAAUUUUGUAUGGUUUGUUUGGAAUUGUUAGGUUUUGAUGAGUAUGCUCGAUUAUGGUGAUUGGAUUUGUGUUUUAAAACUGCAAAUUAACAUUAUAUAUUUAGAGUAUUGGUGUGAGUAUAAUUUUUCUGAACGUGUUGGCUUUUUUUUUAACGGAAUCGGAAUCCGGAAGGUUCCGAAAGGUCCUCCAACGAUAAAACGCAUAAAUUCUGGCAUUCUGUUUUGUGUUAACGCAGGAAAUAACAAUCAUGUUUGCGUUAACGCGGGUUAACCACAAGGCGUUAAACUGGUUAACACUGUUGAAACUUGUUAAAUUUGUAUUCUGUCUUGCGUUAACCGGUUUAACACGGUUUGAAAUUUCCACGGAAGUUGCAUUCUGUGUAGCGUUAACCCGAUUAACGCUAUGAAUGCGUUAACCGGUUAACACUAGUUUGAAAAAGUGAAAAAUUGAGAUUUAAAUGUUGUAUUUUAUUUUGAAAUGCAAUUCUAAGUGUGUUGUAGUUGAUGAUUAAGCCUAUAUUUGGGUGAAUGAUAUACUGUUAUGAAAUGUGUAUAUUGUACCAAUUGUUGGAUUGUGAAUGAUAUAUUGUUAUGAAUGUUUUAAUAUGUACCAUGGUGGAUUGUGAAUGAAUAUAUUGUUAUGAAUGUGUAUAUGUACCAUUGGUGGAUUUGGUGAAUGAUAUAUUGUUAUGAUGUGUAUAUGUAUCAUUGGUGGAUUGUGAAAUGAAUAUAUUGUUAGAAUGUGUAUAUGUAGCCAUUGGUGUAUGAUUCAUAGAGUUGAAAUUAUGGUGAUAUGUGGAAUAUUAAGAUGGUAGUAGAUGAUGCUUAAUUGCCAUAUGUAAUUUGGUAUUUGUACAUUCAUGUCAUGGCAUGGUCGACUUCAUUGUGGAGCGGUGAAACUAUGGUUCACAUGGUAUUAGACGUUGAUUCCUUGAAUGGAAAUAGGCGUAGCAGAUGUUGAUCCCUUAAUUGGAAAUAGAGCGUAGUGGCUUAGAUUCUAGAUAUUGAAUCGAAAAGGUGGACCGUUGGCUCCAUAUAGACGUUGAUCCUUAAUUUGGAAAUAGGCAGUAAAGACGUUGAUCCUUAUGGAAAUAGGCGUGGCAAUAGACGUUGAUCCUAAUGGAAAUAGGCGGUAGCGGAUGUUGAUUCCUUAAUUGGAAAUAGGCGUGGUAAAUAGACGUUGAUACCUUAUUGGAAAUGGCCAUAACAAGACGUUGAAUCCUUAAUUGGAAAUAGACGUGGUGGCUUGAAUUUUACGAUAUUGAAUCGGCAAGCCGGUGAAAACAUUGGGUUCACAUUAUGGUACCGACAAUGCAUAAGUCACCAUGUCCUGCAUUGAGUCACACUAUGAGUUAUGUGAUAAAUUGAAUGUUUGCAUUGAUGUGAUUUGAUGUGUGUAUGAGAUUAUGGUAAUUGAAUUUGAUGAUGUUUGAAGUAUGUGAAUAAUGUGAAUGUUUGCAUUGAUGUGAUUAUGAUGUGUGUAUGUAAGAUAUGGUAUCUGAAUUUGAUGACGUUUGAUACAUAACUUGACUAAAUAUGUGCUUAUGUGAUAAUUGUGUUAUGUGUAUAUUUGAGAUUAAUAUUGGAUUUGAAUAUUAUACUCCUUGAGUUUUUUAUGUGGUGCUGAAACAUGUGAAUAUAAAUUUGGUUAAUAUUAUUUACAUGGUUAUUAUAAAGGGUGAAUGACUUGUCCUUUAUUGUGAUUUAAUCAUUGGUGCUUGAUUUAAUACUUCCUUCAUAAUGAUUUGAAUUCUCACCCUUUUCUGUUUGAAUGUUACCUUUACAUGGGUAUCUGCGCAGCAUACUCAGGAGUAGUAUCGGCUGAAGUAAAGUGGACGGUAGCUCACUCGAGAUUAGCUGGAAGAGCUGCGGUAUCUUCGUUAGAGACCUAAGUAGUGAGUCAAUGCUCUGGUCAUGUAACACUGGGUUAGAUUGGUUAAGUAUUGAAGCUCAUGUCUUAUUUGGAUACGUUUUAUGGUAUUACUUGUGAACAGUUUAAUUUGAAGAGGUUAUUGAGAAUGCUCAUGGUAUGGGACAUGAUCAUUUUAUGAAAUACAUGAGUAUUCAUUAUUUUCGCUGCGAACAGCUAUAUGCUUUGAAUAUUCAUGAGAAGUGGAUGUGUUUAUUUUAAAUGACCAUGUGUAUUGGUAUAUUGAUGAAUGAUAAUGUUGGUUUUGAAAGCUCUUAGUUUUUGAAAAAUGUCGAUGUGAACACCCUUAUUGUUUAUAUGCGUGCUUAUUUACUCUGAUUAUAUUUAAGAGUAUUUUUGGGAUAGAAAAGGGUGUUACACGUUGCCUCGUCACUUCUGUGGUGAGCAUCUUCAGAUGUUCAGUGGAGUGACCCGUAUGGUCGUGUUUUCUCGGCUACAGCCGAAAUCGCCAUGAAGACUCAUGAGAAGAAUGUUGGAUAUCCUGGCCAGUCCCGUGGGGACUUUUCUUUGAUAUUAUGUUCCUGUUGUGAAGGGUGUUGCCCCUGUUGUUGUGAAAAUCAAUCCACACUUCCUAUCCUGGUUGGCCAGUCUGGUAUUUUGAAAAGAGGCAUGGUGUUGAGAUGCUGAGGCUCAUCAAAAGCGUGAAUAUAAUGUUGUUGAUCAGCUGCUACAUAACUCCAUUAAAGGAUAUUUUGUCUAUCUUUUUUUGCUGAAUUCCGAGCCACAACCGCGAAGCUUUGCAAGGGUGUUUGACGUGGAUACAUAGACCAUGAUGUCACAAUUCGAGCAGUUUGAUAGCAUUGUUGCAAAUAUACUGCCUGCAACAAUUUGAGCUUCUGUGAUGCCUGAUCUUCCCGAGGAGGGAAAUACCACAUUUGGCUUUACAUAUAUCUAUGAAUUUGUAAACAAUGAUGCCCCUGUCCAAUGUGUUGGUGGACACAUUAGGGGUUCCAUCACUCAAUGGUAUUGCAAAAUGCUACUCUUGCUAAACUUCAUAUCAGGGGCCUCCCAUGAGGCAGCGUGGAGGUGGUAAGUGAAGGCUUUCGAUGGAAUCGGCAUAAACACUAUGAUUAGCGACUUAGAAACUCCCAAUCAAGAUUGGAUUCUAGUAUUCCAAAUCACCUUCCAGGGUCAGGGAUAUUCAUCCGUCUUAUAAUUGUUGCUUGGCAGACCCUGGAUUCAGAGGCAGGCGCUGUUGACCAUCCAUCUCUACAACCAAAAGUUGAAGUUCAUCAAGAAUAAAAAGUUGGUAGGUGAUAGGGGGACGAGAAGGCUCUCUUGGUCAGCCAUUAAUCUCCUUUUCUACAUGAUGCGAGGAAUGAGGUUGGAACUCCGUUCGAAGCCUUAUUUAUGCUGAGGCUCUAGGAAAGGACUUUCUUAUUUGGUCUCCUAUAAUGAUUGCGAAGUUGGUCAAUUGAGGCAUGUGCAACUACUAGUUUGGGGAAAAUUAUCAAGUUGGAAGAUUAACAAGUCUCGGGCUUGAAUAGGGUAUUUGUUCUGGUGUUUCCAAUGAUCUUAGGCUGUUUCAGAGUGGAGGUUUCAUCCCACCACUGUUGAAGAUUCAGGAAGAUGAUGCCAUCGUUGAAGGAGUGAAGAGGAAGUCGCUUGGCAACUUUGUCAAUACUAGAGGAAUCUGCAAUAAUGGGUCCGCCGUUUGAUGUUCCAACAGUUAUCCAUAAGGUCAACGUAAUGAGUUAUUUGUUUAAAACCCUUGCUCCCAUGCCAAAACAGGAGAAAUGAAGACAUUUUUGGCAUACAUUGAUUAAUACGAUGAUAUUUCAUUCAAUAAUUGCAUGUAAAUGUUUUGUUUUUCACAAUUAUUUUCAAUUUUUUAGCCACUUUUGCAUGAAAUUGGUGAUCCCCAUAAAACUCUAAAAAAAAAAGAGUAAAAAUCAUUUUUUCAUUGUAUAAUGAUUUGCUUGUUUGAAUUCUGAAAUCUCUUUUAUACUCAAAAUCAUUAUGCAGAGUAAUCAAACCCAAUUGAACAUAAUGAUCCAACACCAUCUCCCAACUUUGAAUUCCCUGUAUUUUGAGGCAGAAGAAGAUGAAAUGUUGAAGAGAUUCCUUUUGACCGAGAUUACGCCCGUCUGCUUGAGCACGAGGAGAAGAUCAUUCAGACCACAUCCUUAAGAAUCUAGAACCAGUCAACUUGGGUCUGAAUACUGAAUUUGUGAAGUGAAGAUUGGGGCACUCCUUAAGAGUCUGUUUAAGAAAGGCGGUUGAUGAGUUGCUACGAGAAUAUGUCGACGUCUUUCCGCUGGUCGUUAUGAAGACAGCUUGUCUAGAUCUGAUAUCGUGCACAUUUCUUGCGUUGAAGCCUGCGGUGUGUGUUGUAAGCAGGAAACUCAGAAGAACUCAUCCUGAAUAUGGUAGUCAAAGAUUAAGAAGAAGUUUCAAAACAAAAUUGAUGGCGAGGUUUAUCUGGUGACUUCUACUAUUCCUCAAUGGUGGCCAAUAUUGGGCCUGUGCCUAAAAAGAAUGGAAAAGUCUGAAUGUGUGUGCUUACCGUGACUUGCAUAAGGCUAGUCAAAAGCAUGAUUUUCCUCUACAACAUUGAUAUGUUGGGUAGAGCAAUACCAACUAAUUCAUGUCUUUUUGUUUAUGGAUGGAUUUCCAAUUUAAUAAUCAGAAUUAAAAUGGCACGCCGAGGAUAUGGAGAAGACACAUUCAUCACAACCUUGGGNNNNNNNNNNNNNNNNNNAAAUUGAAGAGGUAAGGGGGGAAUCCUUAUUAUUAUGGGUUAGUAUGAUUGGGUCAAUGGGUAGAUGUAUGUUUAGGUUAAAAUCCCUAAUUUUGUAUGGUUGUUUGGAAUUGUUAGGUUUUGAUGAGUAUGCUCGAUUAUGGUGAUUGAUUGUGUUAAAACUGCAAAUUAACAUUAUAUAUUUAGAGUAUUGUGUGAGUUAUAAUUUUCUGAACGUGUGGCUUUUUACGGAAUCGAAAUCGGAGGUCCGAAAGUCCUCCAACGAUGAAAAACGCAUAAAAUUCUGCAUUCUGUUUUGUGUUAACGCAGGAAUAACAAUCAUGUUUUGCGUUAACCGGUUAACCAAAGGCGUUAACUGGUUAACACUGUUGAAACUCUGUUAAAUUGUAUUCUGUCUUGCGUUAACCGGUUAACACGGUUGAAAUUUCCAGGAAGUGCAUUCUGUGUAGCGUUAACCGAUUAACCAUAUGCGUUAACCGGUUAACACUGUUUGAAAAGUGAAAAAUUGAGAUUUAAAUGUUGUAUUUAUUUUGAAAUGCAAUCUAAGUGUGUGUAGUUGAUAAUUAGCCUAUAUUUGUGAAUGAUAUACUGUUAUGAAUGUGUAUAUGUACCAUUGUUGGAUUGUGAAUGAUAUAUUGUUAUAGUAAGAGGUGAGGAGAGUGAGAAUUAGGAUUCAUUUGAUCAUUGAAGGCAAUAGAGAAAGAGGAGAGGAAAAGUAAAGAGAAGAGCUAGGGUUUCCAGAAAAUUGAAGAGGUAAGGGGGGAAUCUUUAUUAUUAUGGGUUAGUAUGAUCGGGUCAAUGGGUAGAUGUAUGUUUAGGUUAAAAUCCCUCAUUUUGCAUGGUUUUGGAAUUGUUAGGUCUUGAUGAAUAUUCUCGAUUUUUGGUGAUUUGAUUAGGUUAAAACUGUAAAUUAAUGUUAUAUACUUAGAGUAUUAUAUGAGUUAUAAUUUUUUGAACAUGUAGCUUUUUACGGAAUCGAAAUCGGAGGUCCGGAAGUCCUCUAACGAUGAAAAACGCAGAAAAUUCUGCAUGUUGUUUUACAGUAACCGGUUACUCACCGAGCGUUAACCGGUUACUUGCUUAAAAAUCUGCAUUCUGUUAAACUGAGUAACGGGUUAUUCAUUGAGCAUUAACCGGUUACUUGCUUAAAAAAUUGCAUUCUGUUAAACUGAGUAACAGGUUACUUACCCAUCGUUAACCGGUUACUUGCUUAAAAAUCUGUUAAAUCUGUUUCACAGUAACGGGUUACUCACCGAGCGUUAACCGGUUACCACUGUUUGAAAAGGGAAACAUUGAGAUUUAAAUGCUGUAUUUAUUUUGAAAUGCAAUCUAAGUGUGUGUAGUUAAUAAUUAACCUAUAUUCGUGAAUGAUAUACUGUUAUGAAUGUGUAUAUGUACCAUUGUUGGAUUGUGAAUGAUAUAUUGUUAUGAAUGUUUAUAUGUACCAUUGGUGGAUUGUGAAUGAUAUAUUGUUAUGAAUGUGUAUAUGUACCAUUGGUGGAUUGUGAAUGAUAUAUUGUUAUGAAUGUGUAUAUGUAUCAUUGGUGGAUUGUGAAUGAUAUAUUGUUAUGAAUGUGUAUAUGUACCAUUGGUGUAUGAUUCAUAGAGUUGAAUUAUGGUGAUAUGUGGAAUAUUAAGAUGGUAGAGAUGAUCUUAAUUGCAUAUGUAUUGGUAUUUGUACAUUCAUUCAUGGCAUGGUCGACUUCAUUGUGGAAGCGGUGAAACUAUGGGUUCACAUGGUAUUAGACGUUGAUCCUUGAAUGGAAAUAGGCGUAGCAGAUGUUGAUCCUUAAUUGGAAAUAGACGUAGUGGCUUAGAUUCUAGAUAUUGAAUCGGAAAACGGUGGAACGUUGGGUCCAUAUAGACGUUGAUCCUUAAUUGGAAAUAGGCAUAACAGACGUUGAUCCUUAAUUGGAAAUAGGCGUGGUAAAUAGACGUUGAUCCUUAAUUGGAAAUAGGCGUAGCAGAUGUUGAUCCUUAAUUGGAAAUAGGCGUGGUAAAUAGACGUUGAUCCUUAAUUGGAAAUAGGCAUAACAGACGUUGAUCCUUAAUUGGAAAUAGACGUGGUGGCUUGAAUUUUAGAUAUUGAAUCGGCAAGCGGUGAAACAUUGGGUUCACAUUAUGGUACCACAUGCAUAGAGUCACAUGUCAUGCAUUGAGUCACACUAGAGUUAUGUGAUAAUUGAAUGUUUGCAUUGAUGUGAUUAUGAUGUGUGUAUGAGAUAUGGUAAUUGAAUUUGAUGAUGUUUGAAGUUAUGUGAUAAUUGAAUGUUUGCAUUGAUGUGAUUAUGAUGUGUGUAUGAGAUAUGGUAAUUGAAUUUGAUGACGUUUGGAUACAUAACUUGACUAAAUAUGUGAUUAUGUGAUAAUUGUAGUUAUGUGUAUAUUUGAGAAUAUAAUAUUGGAUUUGAAUAUUAUACUCCUUGAGUUUUUAUGUGUGCUUGAAACAUGUGAAAUAAAUGUUGGUUAAUAUUAUUUACAUGGUUAUAUAAAGUGUGAUGAAUUCCUUUAAUUGUCGAUUUAAUCAUUGUGCUUGAUUAAUACUUCUUCAUAAUGAUUUGAAUUCUCACCCUUUCUGUUUGAAUGUUACCUUUACAUGGGUAUCGCGCAGAUACUCAGGAGUAGUAUCGCUGAAGUAAGUGGACGGUAGCUCACUCGAGAUUAGCUGGAGAGCUGCGGUACUUCGUUUAGAGACUAAGUAGUGAGUCAAUGCUCUGGUCAUGUAACACUGGGUAGAUUGGUAGUAUUGAACUCAUGUCUUAUUUGGAUACGUUUUAUGGUAUUACUUGUGAACAUGUUUAAUUGAAGAGGUUAUUGAGAGAUGAUCAUGGUAUGGGACAUGGAUCAUUUUAUGAAAUACAUGAGUAUUCAUUAUUUUCCGCUGCGAACGCAUAUGCUUGAAUAUUCAUGAUAAGUGAGAUGUGUUAUUUUAAAUGACCAUGUGUAUUGUAUAUUGAUGAUGAAUGAUGUUGGUUUUUGAAAGCUCUUAGUUUUUGAAAAUGUCGAUGUGACACCCUUUUGUUUAUAUGCGUGCUUAUUUACUCUGAUUAUAUUUAAAGUAUUUUGGGAUAGAAAAAGGGGUGUUACACCGUUGCCCUCAACUUCUGUGGUGAGCAUUUCAGAUGUCAGUGGAGUGACCCGUAGUGGUCGUGUUUUCUCGGCUCAGCCGAAAUCCCAUGAAGACGUCAUGAAGAGAACUGUUGAUAAUCCUGCCAGUCCCGUGGGGACUUCUUCUUUGAAUAAUUAUGUUCCUGUUGUGAAGGGUGUUGACCCUGUUGUUGUGAAAAUCAAUAACACUCCUAUCCUGGUUGGCCAGUCUGGUAUUUUGAAAGAGGAUGGUGAUGAGAUGCUGAGGCUCAUCAAAAGGAGUGAAUAUAAUGUUGUUGAUCAGCUGCUACAAACUCCAUUAAAGAUAUUUGUCUUAUCUUUUUUGCUGAAUUCCGAGCCACACCGCGAAGCUUUGCAGAGGGUGUUGGACGUGGCAUACAUAGACCAUGAUGUCACAAUUGAGCAGUUUGAUAGCAUUGUUGCAAAUAUAACUGCCUGCAACAAUUUGAGCUUCUGUGAUGCUGAUCUUCCCGAGGAGGGAAAAUACCACAAUUUGGCUUUACAUAUAUCUAUGAAUUGUAAACAUGAUGCCCUGUCCAAUGUGUUGGUGGACACAGGGUCAUCACUCAAUGUAUUGCCAAAAUCUACUCUUGCUAAACUUUCAUAUCAGGGGCCUCCCAUGAGGCAGCGUGGAGUGGUAGUGAAGGCUUUCGAUGGAUCGCAUAAAACUAUGAUUAGCGAAUUAGAACUCCCAAUCAAGAUUGGAUCUAGUGAUUUCCAAAUCACCUUCCAGGUCAUGGAUAUUCAUCCGUCUUAUAAUUGUUUGCUUGGCAGACCAUGGAUUCACGAGGCAGGCGCUGUGACAUCCACUCUACACCAAAAGUUGAAGUUCAUCAAGAAUAAAAAGUUGGUGGUGAUAGGGGGAGAGAAGGCUCUCUUGGUCAGCCAUUUAUCUUCCUUUUCCUACAUUGAUGCUGAGGAUGAGGUUGGAACUCCGUUCGAAGCCUUAUUUAUUGCUGAGCCUUCUAGGAAAGGACUUUCUUCAUUUGUCUCCUAUAAUGAUGCGAAGUUGGUCAUUGAGCAUGGUGCAACUACUAGUUUGGGGAAAAUUAUCAAGUUGGAAGAUAACAAGUCUCGGGCUGGAAUAGGGUAUUGUUCUGGUGUUUCCAAUGAUCUUAGGCUGUUUCAGAGUGGAGGUUUCAUCCACACUGUUGAAGAUCAGGAAGAUGAUGCCAUCGUUGAAGGAGAUGAAGAGGAAGACCUUGGCAACUUUGUCAUACCUAGAGGAAUCUGCAAUAAUUGGGUCGCCGUUGAUGUUCCAACAGUUAUCCAUAAGUCAACGUAAUGAGUUUAUUUUGUUUAAAAACCCUUCUCCCAUGCCAAAAGGAGAAAUGAAGACAUUUUUGGCAUAAUUGAUUAAUACGAUGAUAUUCAUUCAAUAAUUGCAUGUUAAAUGUUUGUUUUCCAAAUUAUUUUUCAUUUUUGCUUUUUGCAUGAAAUUGGUGAUCACCAUAAAACUCUAAAAAAAAGAGUAAAAUCAAUUUUUCAUUUGUAUAAUGAUUUGCCUUGUUUGAAUUCUGAAAUCUCUUUUAUACUCAAAAUCAUUAUGCAGGUUAAUCAAACCCAUUGAACAUAAUGAUCCAACACCAUCUCCCAACUUUGAAUUCCCUGUAUUUGAGGUGCAGGUUAAUCAAACCCAUUGAACAUAAUGAUCCAACACCAUCUCCCAACUUUGAAUUCCCUGUAUUUGAGGCAGAAGAAGAUGAUGUUGAAGAGAUUCCUGACGAGAUUACCCGUCUGCUUGAGCACGAGGAGAAGAUCAUUCAGCCACAUCUUAAGAAUCUAGAAACAGUCAACUUGGGGUCUGAAUACUGCAUUUGUGAAGUGAAGAUUGGGGCACUCCUUGAAGAGUCUGUUAAGAAGGGGUUGAUUGAGUUGCUACGAGAAUAUGUCGACGUCUUUCCCUGGUCGUAUGAAGACAUGCCUUGUCUAGAUACUGAUAUCGUGCAACAUUUCUUGCCGUUGAAGCCUGGGUGUGUGCUUGUAAAGCAGAAACUCAGAAGAACUCAUCCUGAUAUGGUAGUAAAGAUUAAAGAAGAAGUUCAAAAGCAAAUUGAUGCGAGGUUUCUGGUGACUUCUACAUAUCCUCAAUGGGUGGCCAAUAUUGUGCCUGUGCCUAAGAAAGAUGGAAAAGUCUGAAUGUGUGUGGAUUACCGUGACUUGAAUAAGGCUAGUCCAAAAGAUGAUUUUCCUCUACCACACAUUGAUAUGUUGGUAGACAAUACAACUAAAUUCAAUGUCUUUUUGUUUAUGGAUGGAUUUUCCAAUUAUAAUCAGAUUAAAAUGGCACCCGAGGAUAUGGAGAAGACACAUUCAUCACACCUUGGGGAACAUUCUGUUAUCGAGUGAUGCCCUUCGGUUUGAAGAACGUCGGAGCCACGUAUCAACGUGCUAUGACUACCUUGUUUCAUGAUAUGAUGCACAAAGAGAUCGAGGUGUCUAUUGAUGAUAUGAUUGCAAAUUAAAAAACGGAAGUUGAACAUGUAGAACACUUGUUGAAGAUUUUCCAGCGUUUGAGGAAGUACAAACUCCGCUUGAAUCCGAACAAGUGUACAUUUGGAGUCCGUUCCGGCAAGUUAUUAGGUUUUAUUGUCAGCGAGAGAGGUAUUGAAGUUGAUCCUGCCAAGGUCAAAGCAAUACAAGAGAUGUCCGCGCCCAAAAUUGAGAAGCAAGUCCGAGGUUUUCUUGGCCGCUUGAAUUACAUUUCGAGAUUUAUAUCCCACAUGACUGCCACAUGUGCGCCUAUAUUCAAGCUCCUCCAGAAAGAUCAGUGUCAUGUGCAAGUCCGAGGUUUUCUUGGCCGCUUGAAUUACAUUUCGAGAUUUAUAUCCCACAUGACUGCCACAUGUGCGCCUAUAUUCAAGCUCCUCCAGAAAGAUCAGUGUCAUGAUUGGACCGAGGAUUGCUAGAAGGCCUUUGACAGUAUCAAAAAGUAUCUGUCUGAGCCUCCGAUUCUGUCUCCGCCUGUUAAAGGGAGACCACUGAUUAUGUACUUGAUUGUGCUUGAUGAUUCCAUGGGUUGUAUCCUGGGUUAGCAAGAUGAAUCAGGAAAGAAAGAAUAUGCAAUAUACUACUUGAGUAAGAAGUUUACUGAUUGUGAGUCUUGGUACUCCAUGCUUGAGAAGACAUGUUGUGCUUUGGCUUGGGCUGCUAAGCGCUUAUGCCAGUAUAUGUUGAGUCAUACGACUUGGUUGAUAUCCAAAAUGGAUCCAAUAAAGUAUAUCUUUGAGAAGCUUGCUUUAACUAGGAGGAUUGCCUGAUGGCAGAUGUUGUUGUCUGAGUAUGAUAUUGAGUAUCGAGCUCAAAAAACCAUUAAAGGUAGUAUCUUGGCUGACCAUUUGGCGCAUCAACCAAUUGAAGAUUAUCAAUCCGUGCAAUAUGACUUCCCUGAUGAUGAGAUUAUGUAUUUGAAGAUGAAAGAUUGUGAUAAGCCUACGCUCGAUGAAGGGCCAGAGCCUGGUUCUCAAUGGGGUAUGAUGUUCGAUGGUGCUGUUAAUCAGUAUGGAAAUGGUAUUGGGACAGUGAUUAUUACUCCUCAAGACACACAUUUUCCUUUUACAGCAAGGCUAAAUUUCAAAUGCACGAAUAAUAUGGUGGCGUAUGAGGCUUGUAUUAUGGGUUUGGAAGAAUGUAUUGAUCUUAGGAUCAAACAUCUUGAUGUUUAUGGCGAUUUGGCCCUUGUUGUUAAUCAGAUUAAGGGUGAGUGGGAGACGAAUCAUCCUGGCCUCAUCCCAUACAGAGAUUACGCGAGGAGGAUUUCAACUUUCUUUACUAAGGUUGACUUCCAUCAUAUUCCUCGAGACGAGAAUCGGAUGGCAGAUGCCCUCGCUACGCUUGCUUCAAUGAUUGUAGUGAAGUAUUGGAAUAAAGUCCCCAACAUUACUGUGAUGCGCUUGGAUAGACCAGCUCAUGUGUUUACAGUUGAAGAAGCAAAAGACGAUAAGCCCUGGUAUUAUGAUAUCAAGUGUUUUCUUCAAAGUCAGAUUUACCCGCCUGGGGCAUCUAUUAAAUACAAGAAGACUUUGAGGAGGUUAUCUGGCAGUUUCUACCUUAAUGGUGAUGUGCUUUACAAGAGGAAUUUUGACAUGGUUCUACUUAGAUGCGUGGAUAAACACGAAGCAAACUUGUUAAUGACUGAAGUGCAUGAGGGUUCAUUUGGUACUCAUUCCAAUGGACAUGCUAUGGCGAAGAAGAUGUUGAGACCAGGCUACUAUUCGCUGACAAUGGAGUUUGACUGUUGCAAGUAUGUGAAGAAAUGCCACAAGUGUCAGAUUUAUGCGGAUAAGAUUCAUGUUCCCCCGACACUUCUGAAUGUUAUUUCCUCACCAUGGCCUUUCUCCAUGUGGGGAAUUGACAUGAUCAGCACGAUUGAACCAAAGGCGUCGAACGAUCACCGUUUUAUUCUCGUAUCUAUUGGUUACUUCACCAAGUGGAUUGAAGCGGCAUCGUAUGCAAAUGUGACCAGGCAGGUGGUCGUGAGGUUUAUCAAGAACCAACCCAUAUGCUGAUAUGGUGUGCCAGAUAAGAUCAUUACUGAUAAUGGAUCUAACUUGAACAACAAGAUGAUGAAAGAGCUGUGUAGCGAGUUCAAGAUUGCACAUCAUAAUUCUUCUCCCUAUAGACCCAAGAUGCAAUGGUUGUUGAAGCUGCUAACAAGAACAUCAAGAAGAUUAUUCAGAAGAUGGUUGUUACAUACAAAGAUUGGCAUGGGAUGCUGCCAUUUACUUUGCAUGGCUAUCAUACAUCUGUCCGCACUUCAAUAGGGCAACCCUUUUCUCCUUGUAUAUGGCAUGGAGGCUGUGCUCCCCGUAGAGGUUGAGAUUUCAUCAAUGAGAGUCUUGAUGGAAGCCAAGCUGACUGAGGCUGAAUGGGUUCAGAUUCGUUAUGACCAACUGAAUUUGAUUGAAGAGAAGAGAUUAAUGCCAUGUGCCAUGGUCAGUUAUAUCAGGAGAGGAUGAAGAAAGCCUUUGAUAAGAAGGUCAAGCCUCGUGUGUUCCGAGAAGGUGACCUCGUGCUCAAGAAAGUCUUGUCUUUCACGCCCGAUUCCAAGGGCAAGUGGACUCCAAACUAUGAAGGUCCAUAUGUUGUUAAGAAAGCCUUUUCAGGCGGUGCUUUGUUGCUUACAACUAUGGAUGGGGAGGAUUUCACUCGUUCUGUGAAUUCAGAUGCUGUCAAGAAAUACUUCGCCUAAAAUAAAAACAGAAUAGCUCGCUAAGUUGAAAACUCGAAAGGGCGGCUUAGGCAAAAAUGAGCGUCUCGGUGGAUGGAAAACCUGAAAGGGAGGACCAGGCAAAAGUUAGAGACAUGAAAAAGAAUAAUGAAUAUAUAUCCCGCUAGAUUGAGUACCUCACCCUGGGGCAAUCUAGGCAAAAAUUAGGGAUUUGGCAAGUAACUGCAUCCUGACAAGACUUUGUUCUACAACUAUCGUCUAUCAAAGAUUCUCGCUCAGUCAUUUAUCAACUGAAGCUUCGAAUACAGUGGAUUCAGAGUUGGUGGAGAAACGAUCAUUAUGUUCAAUGUAGUCCUUUUUCCAUGUAUAUCACCAAUUUCAAAUUUGUAAAGGUCCAUGGAGUCUCGCCAUUUGUGGACUACCAUUCUAUUAAAUAAAUUUGGGCCUUUAUCCAAUUCCUUGCACUCUUACUUGUUUAUGUCUAACAAAUGUUUGCAUGUUUUAGUUGAUGAAUAUCAUUGUUUUAAACAAAUAAAGUUUUUAUAAACUGUUUUAAACAAAAUGAACAUUCACAAUGACUGAAAAGAUAAAUAGAAUGUCCUCAGUACUUUCCCAAAGAUAGUAUGAUCACCAAAGGGUAAGACAUUUGUUCAUAUUCUGGCAUGUUUAUAUCCUCUUCAUCAACUUUCAGUUGUCUCCCUGUCGAGCUCUGAAAAAGUCACCAGCUUCCCAGAGACUCUGGUAUGAGAAGUCUUCUCUGAUGGCAGCAAAUUUGUUCUAUCUUUUUGGAUUGCUUUCUCCUAGCAGAAUCUGUGGAUCUUCAUUUGACAGUUCCCAGAUAGUUUGUUUAUGCACAUGCUUGUUUCCCCUGCGGAGUCUUAGCAAUCCAUGGUUGGUUGAUCUGUGGAUGAUCCCUUUUGUACCAGUUUUUGCCUUGAUCUUUUAGAGACGUGUAUCCCUCUAUAUCAGGCACUAGCAUUUGUGUUUUUAUCAAUUAUAUGGUUGUCACCCCUUGUGGGGGGCUGACUUAAAAUCCCUUAUAGAUUGAUAAAAGUUGAUAUGUUAUUCUACUCACGAAGACUUGGUAUUUCCCCAGCAUGAAUAGAAGCUCUCAGCGGAGUAGGUAUGUGUUCCCUGCAGAGCUAUCUUCCAGACAGUUGUCUCCUCAGUGGGAAGUUGCCUAAGAGCAAUCGAUGACGGGUUUGUUUCCCUUUUCGUCCCUAGCCUGUCACGUGUUGACGAAGGACCCGUUUCCGAUUCCCUCAGCCAAGACAGUUCCUUUGAGAAUACUUGUAGUUUAUCCCCAGUAGGGUUGCCUGAUCCGAGUUUGAUGAUUUGUAUCCCCUCUGAGUCUGAAGAUUUCUUCUAGUAUUGAGAGAUGAUGUGGAAGAUGUGUUGUUUCCUUCCCUAGUGGAGCAAUUUAUUCUUUCUCCCCUUAGCAGAGUUUUCUCUCCAGCAGAUAGAAGGGAAUGUUUUGAUUGAUGUGUAUCUGGUUGGUGUCUGUUCCCCACGGAAUUUCACAUCAUCCCUUGGUAUGUUCCCCAGUAGAGUUUCUUCUACGGCGGAUCUUAACAAUAUUCAGCAGCUUGUCCCCGAGAGACUUGAUGGAAGGCCUCCGGCGGUUGGAAGCUAUUGACUUUGCCUAUCCCCAAGCGAAGCUCUCUAGUAGGUUUUGCCCCUUCUUGUUGAGAUGUUAUGCCGGGUGUCCGUUCACGAAUUCUUGGACCUGUUUAUGUUAGAUAUGUCUGUCUGUUAGCAUUUAUCAUAUACAGAUCAUGCAUACACACGCAUAAUCAUAUCAUUCAGAUAUUCAUGUUGCAUUCUUUGUCAUAUAUCUUUGUGUGUUAUCUCCUGCUGUCGGUGAAAUGCUCUUCCCCAAGCAGAUGUUUGUGUCUAAUCUCUCCAUUUAGAGUCAGCCUCAUAGGCAGAAAGUGUCUACCUUUCCUUCUUUAUUCCCCACUGAGUUAUGUCCUUGUGGAUGAUUAUUGUUUCAACUUCCUUUCCGGUUAUGUACCGGGAUGGAAUUACUCCCCUGAGAUAUAUCCUCAUUGGGUUGAGUCUUGUUUGAUUGUGUCUUUCUAGUUUGUUCCUAGAUUGACUCCCCUUUCUUAUUAUCCCCUACAGUUCCCCGUGGUUUAGUCGUUCAAUUGCUCAGUAACCAGUAAUUGUUCAUUCUUUCCCCAGCGGAUCUUGUGUCCUUCUACCUAGUAGCCGGUAGUUGUAAGUCCUACUUCUGUGGUUUUCUACCCAGUGAUCGGUAGAUGUAAUCCCCUCUUUGAUGGUUAUCUUUACCUAAUAACCAAUAUUGAUAUUCCUUCGUCUUUGAGUAUACCACCCAGUAACCGGUGAUAUAUCUCUUGGAUAAUUGUUUUUGUCAGGCAAUUUAUCCCUUGCGAGUCAUCUUUCGUUUACCCGUAUUUGGUAAUGUUUGUUUCUCCUUCUGAUUGGUCAUCAUUUUAUACUCAGUAGCCCGUACCCCGAUGUCCUUUCUUUUCGGUUGAUUUAUCCUUCAUUAACUCAGUAACCGGUUGUGGAUAAUUUUCCAUGCGAGUAUGUUAUCUAUAUUAUGACGGUAAUAGAUAAUAUAUCUCAUGCGCUCUUCAGUCGAAGUCUUUGUUCUUCCCCAGUCGAGUAAGGUUCGUAUUUCCUAGUGAAAUCGAAUGUCCAUCCUGUAAGUCGAGUUUGCUUUUUCAGCCCCCCUUUCGGAUGAUGAGUGUCUUGGAUAUGUUCCCAAUUCACGUCUGGUUGGUCACCUAUUAUACGCCCAGUAACCGGUAUCCCUGGUGUUCCUUCCUUCUACUCCCUAUUAUGACUUUUUGUCCCUUGUGGAGUCAGAUUUUUCUUGAGUUGAGAUGUGCCUUUUGGGUCCUCCUCAGAUGUUUCUAAUGAUUGAUAUCUCUCACCCUUAUAUCAGUCUUAGAUAUUCUUUCUCCUUGAGCGUGUUGUUCUCUCACCCAGUAACCGGUGUUUUGAUAACAUGUCUCAUUUUGAGUUUAUUACCCAGUAACGGGUAAUAUCCCAUUUUUUCUUCCUCAACUGAGUCCUUUGUGGAUUUCUCCGUCUGAGUCCGGAUUUUUAUCCGAUGUAUCCUUUGUGGAUAGUUUUGUUGUAUUGGCAUAUUCCCCAAUACAUGCAUCUUUGCGUCGGCUCGAGUCUUUCCAUCAAUUUAUUUUCGUGGAAUCCCUUCGCGUCUCCCAACAAGUUUUCAAGUCGUGGCCUGCUCACACAUUUUUACCUUUAUUUCCCCAGAAUCUCUAUCUCUCUAGUGAGUGUGUUACUCCUAUGGAUCUUCAAUUUCUCCUGAUUUCUUUUCCUUCAUGGCAAUUGUUCACCAUGAAGAUUUAUUUUUGCAUACAUACAUUUGCAUCAUGAGGUCUCUUAGGGACCAAAAUUCGUCUCUUUGUUAUUAUUUAAGCCCAUUCUACCUCGUUGAGACGAAGAUUUUAACCUUCAUAUCUCCAGCUAGAAUGACCUUAAAUAGGGGCAUCUGUAAGACCCUAAUUUUGACCAUAAGAUCCCUCAUGGCAUCAUAUCAUUGCUCAGUGCAUUGCCUCAAGGAUCAUAGCAUGUUUGGCUCCUUAACCCUAGGGUUGAGACUUGUGUGAGUGGUUUGAGACUACCAAGCAUGCUUGUAUUAUAUAUUAUUUCUUUUCUUAUUUUGAUUACUAACCAAAAGCACAAAAAUAUGUCACUAACUCUUUUUCAAAACUUCGAGUUCACUAGUACACGAGGGUACGAGGAUCCUGGCUCCUAAGCUCAAUGAUAUGGCUAGAUGAAGAUGAGAAAAAGCAUGACAAUGGUCCACAAAGUUCCUAAUCAUCAUAUAUGUCUCCCAAGUAUCUCAAUUUGCCAAUUUGAUCAAGAUAAACCAAAGGGCUUGAUGAUUGUUUCCCAAGGAAACCCUAAUUUCAAUUGUGCUUUGAUUGUGCCUUGUCCAUGAAGCAACCUCAGCCUAUGAUCAAAUUUAAUCAAGGGAAGUUCUUUCAUUCAUUAUUUUAUGCAUAUGUGAGCCUAUUUGAGGAUUCUCAAUCAUUCAUUCAUCAAGAUUGGAAGUUUGGCCUUGGAAAGUUGACCAGUCAAGUCAUCUGACUAAACUGAGGUCCACUAAGAUAUAACUUUUGAUAUGUUUGUGAAAUGAAGAUGACCCUAAGAUAAACAAUGUUAUUAACAACCAUAUUAACAACUUUCAUGUUCAUCAAAAAUCCAUUUGAAGCUUGUAAAGUCAUCAAUCAUUUCAAAACAUUAUAGGUCAUUUUGACUAAAACCCUAAUUUUGGGUCAACUUCCCAAGGACCUAACUUCCUUAAUUUUUAUGAUUUUGAGGUAAGACAAAAUUAAUUGGAAAUAUUAAGAUGUCUACUUAAAAUGUUAUGUUGGAAAAAAUUUCAUAAUCUUAAAAGAAAUACAUGUGAUAUACAAAAUAUUAUAGGUCACCUUGGACCCAAGUCAUUGAAUUUGAAAAAGUACCUAACUUCAAGUGCCCAUAACGUUUUUAUGGAAAAUCCAAAUGAUGCAAAAUUUGAGUCUAAAUUAAUAAUCUUGAAAAUAUAUACAAGUUUUAAGUUUAAGGUUUUUCCAUUUGAGGCUUGCAUCAUGCAAAAAGAGGGGCUUGAAGAGGCUUGCUUUUGGUGAAAAUUUUCAAAGGAUGACCUAGACAUGUUUUGUGCGCAAACGUUCACAGCCAUUUUUCACUAAUUUCAAAAUGCCAAAUAAAUUUUUGCCCAACAUGACUUUUGUUCCUUAUUUCAAGAGAUUUCCAACCAUUACUCGCAUUACUUUUUUGGACUUUCCAUUGGUGAGUUUCGAAUAGUUCUCUCUCUAUGUUCAUUUUUGCAUUUCAUGUUGAAACUUAAUGUGCAAGCUGAUUACAUCACAAUUGCACGUCCAAUUCCAUUUCAGUUAAUCUCAGCAUGGUUUAGCACCCAUCAUUGGGCCUCACAUGCGCCUGUACAGGCCCAUGCACCAAAGUUCAAAUUUUCCAUGCACACGAGGGAAUCAUGAACUCAACCCUCUUCAGCUAUAAAUAAGCACUCAAUCUCAUUCAUUUGGCAACCUUGUGGAGACCUGAAAUACUGCAGCACUGAAAUCCCAACCAAUACCAAAGGAAUUUUCAGAUUUUUCUCUCUUUUUCAAGCUUGAAAUUCAACAUCAUUAAUUGAUUUUCAAAGCUCAAUUCCUUAGCCUAUCAUCUCCAUUACAUCUCCAGAGUAGCAAGGGAUCAAGAUCUUGAAGAAUUCGUGGCCUUAAGAGCUCCAUUUCAUAGGUAGAACUUCAAACGUUUUGGAUCUAGAUCUUGCAAUUCAAUGUAGUUUUCUUUGGUUUGUGUGGUUUUCUGAAGUCCUCACACUUGAGGCAGGCCAGUGGUGGUCUCAAUUCUUCAUUUCGUGCAUUUGCAGUUGACAUACCAUGAUCUUCAAUCUCACAUUUCUCUCAAAAUAGGAAGAGUGAGAAAGAUCCAUGGAUACAGUGGUGAUGUACAUCACUUGAGCUUCAUUUUGAUGUCCUUGUUUUUCAUUUUCGUUACAAAAUUUUUCUCUGCAAGUGGUGGCCGGAAUCAGGUAUCUCACCGGAGAAGAUGGUGGUUUCCACCACCAUCACCAUGUGGUUGCCUUCCCAGCCCUUGGAUUGCCAUGCCACGUUAUAAUCUUGACCACUCCUUAUGUUUACUUAUUUUAAUUCAACAUGCCGCGCGCUUGACUUAUGUCUACCAUGCGUCCUCACCUCUGAGCCCUUGAUCUGUGCCACGUCAAUUAAUGAGGUUGAUCCUGUGGCGUUGGAUUUUUCAUCUUUUCUAUUUUCAUUUUAAUUUCAGUUAAUUCCUUUUAUUUUUAAAAAUUCAUAAAAAAUUUAUUUGAAGUCACAAAAAUAUGAGACCAACUCCAAAAAUUUUCUUGAAAAAUCUAGUUUCAUAUUUUGAUUUUUUAAAUAUUUUUGUGAUUUCAUUUAAUAUUUUUUGUGAAUUAUUUGGUUUUUAAUAGUUUUAAUUCAUUUUAAAAUACUUUAUGAUAUUUGAAAAAUCCAAAAAUAUUUUCCUAACACCUAUGGAUCAUGAUAAGUCAAUGAAAAAUAGUCUCAUCAAUUUCUUAUUUGAUUUGAGAUUUAUUUGAGAUUUUAAUUCAUUGAAAAAUCCAAAAAUAUUUUCCUAACACCUAUGGAUCAUGAUAAGUCAAUGAAAAAUAGUCUCAUCAAUUUCUUAUUUGAUUUGAGAUUUAUUUGAGAUUUUAAUUCAUAUUGUGUUAUUUUUUAAUUGUUUUAAAAUAAUUUAUGAUUUCCAAAAUUGUUGAGAAAAUUUGUCAAAGUUUAUUUGACCAUGUUAGACCUAUGAGAAUUUAAUUGGACUUGUUGAAGUUGAUUUGAAUUAAAUUUGAGGUUUGACCUUAUUUUGAUUAUUUUUAUUUUGCAUUUUAUUUUAAUUCAAAAAUACCAAAAAAUUAUGGUUGACUUGCUGACUUGUAAUCUUCAUUCCUUUUCUGUUUGCCAUUGAUUGAUGAUGACUUGGUUCACAUUUGAUCAAUUGAAUUUGAUACUUGUCUUCCUUUUCCCUCCCUUUCAUCUUCAUCCCAUUAUUUCAUUAAUGGCCAAUGAGUUAAUGUCUUAUGGUUGGUCUUGACAAAUGAGAGGUUUAACCUUCUUUGAUCCAAACCAAACUCAACUUGAUCCAUGAUCAAGUGAGUUGUUUUGUGUCUAAGAUAGGUUGCUUCUUGAUCAAGCAAAUAACCUAAAGUCCAUACAAGGUCAUUCCCCUCUUGUUUUGGCAUAGCAAGUUUGUGGAGCUUGGCUUACUAGUCAUGAUCUCUAACUUGUGUUUAUUGGCCUAUAGUUUUAUUGACCGGCCUCAGAUAGGUGUGACUACUACAUUAGUUCACUUACGAUUGAUUAACAUAGCGCUACAUUGUCUUAUGACAAACUAACAUAACUUCACUAAUUACUAACUUUAAUUUGAACAUUUAAUUUCUUGCCCUUUACUUUUAAUGCCAUUUAUUUCUUGCUCAUCUAUUCAUAUUGUUUUUCAUUUUGCUCAUUUGAGCACAUAUUUUAUGUUUAUGUCAUUUUUCUUUUGCUCAUUUGAGUUCACUAUUGUAUAUAAAUAUAUUGUUGUCUUGUGAUUGCUUUGUCUUUAUUUUGUGUGAACCUAAUACAAAAAGGAGAAAGGACUUAGAAUUAGGACAUACCUAUGCUUAAAGGAGUUCAAGAGCAACUAGGCCUCAUGUCCUUUAGAAUGCUACAAAUUUGGUUGAGAGUAACAUCGGGCUCUCAUGUCUUUAGAAUGCUAAUUUCAAAGAUUGAUCUUAAAGUACUUCUCAUCCAAGCCUAUUCUUUGUCCAUUCCUCUUAUUGUGUGGUGAACUUUUUGAUCUUUGUUCUUGCGUGAUAGGGAUUCCAUCUCGAGAUAGUGAAAAGAGGACCAUUGUCAUGAGUAGCCAAGUUAAGAGAGAUAAGCCAAAUGGAGAUCCUAGGAGCUUGAAUCCAAAUUGUUUGAUUGCUUGAUUGUGUACUAAGUCCAAAGGAAAUGAGCAUCUUGAAUCAUCUCUAUGAUUUCAAGAAAAGGAACUCCAAGGGUUUAUCUUUUCUUUCUUAUCUUUGUAUGCUUUAGGACUAGCCCUUCUAUUCUUCUCCCCACUCUAACCCAAGCCAAAAAUCUUUUCUUCAAAACUUUGACUUUGUUUUAAAUUAGAAACCUAGGCCUUAUGCCUUUGACUUUUCAAACUCUUUUCAUAAAUACUCAUUGUGAAUAAACAUUAGUCCAACUUUGACCUCAUUUUAUAAAUAAAUCUAACUUGUAAAUCACUUUAAGUUGAUUUUGUGGUUCCAAUGGCCACCUUUGUUAAAACCUUUUCAUAAACAUUAGUCAUAGGUUUAAGUUAUCAUAGUGGUUGAUAUAAAUCUCACCUUAUCCUUAGUGAUUGGAUUAUAAGUCUUCCAUACUUAUUAUAUGGUUAACCCCUCACUAGUAUGUUGAAGCUUUCCUCACAUGGUGGAUUGUUGGUUUAGGUUGAGUUUUCUCCCUUAGAUAACAAAAGACCUUAAGGCUUUUGAUCAAAUCAAUUCACCAAUCUUUGUGAUUUUUACCCCGAACUACGAGGUUUUGAUCCUACCUUUGUGAUGGUACGUAGGCAAUGAGUUCAUCCAUCAAACAACAAAAUUUUUAAAUAUAAUCUAUUCUCUUCUCAUCCUCCAAUCUUUUGCCUCCAAAUCUUUUCACAAAUACAACCAUCAACACAUAAUUUGCAAAAAGGGUUCCCUAGAGUACUAAGGAUUUCUGGGUGCGUUUAAACCUCCCCAUUUCAUAACCCCUUACCUAGAUCUCUGACAUUUUUAUUAGUUUUUGAUUUGAAAAACUUCUUACCUUGGCUUUUGUUCGCUUUUUAGCCUUUCCUUUGGACAAAUAAAAGUGCGGUGGCGACUCAAAUUGUAUGUUUACUUUUGGUUUAGUUAAUAAACCUAAAGGUAACGAAAACCCCGCUAUAGGUAUCCACGAACAUGUUUAUCAACUCUCUUUCAAGAAGAGGGGGUUGAACCCUGGCAGCCAGGUCUCUCCAUCGUUGAGCGUACUCUUUGAACGAUUCAUCCGGCUUCUGAGAAAGGCUUUGGAGCUGAGUUCGAUUGGGGGCCAUGUCUGAGUUAUACUGAUAAUGCUUCAAAAAGGCUUCAACAAGUUCCCUCCAGGUUCGUAUAUGCGUGCGCUCGAGCUGUAUAUACCAUUCCAGAGAAGCUCCACUAAGACUGUCCUGGAAAAAGUGCAUUAAGAGUUUCUCGUCAUUAGAAUGAGCGGCCAUCUUUCUGCAGAAAGCUCGGAUGUGGGUCUUUGGACAAGUGACCCUAUUAAGAGUUUCUCGUCAUUAGAAUGAGCGGCCAUCUUUCUGCAGAAAGCUCGGAUGUGGGUCUUUGGACAAGUGACCCCUUGAUACUUUUCAAAGCUCGGGACUUUGAACUUGGGAGGAAUUUUCACGUCUGGCACUAAGCACAUGUCGGCCGGAUCCAACCCAAAGGUAUCAGAACCUUGCAUCACCUUGAAUCUCUCCUCCAUCAUUUGAAAUCUCCUUUCGAUGUCAGCAGGAGAAGGACUAAAAGCUUCAUAAACUGAGUCAGCCUUUGUAGUGAAGAAAACGUCCUACUGAUCGUCAAUCUCAGGUUGGAAUCUCCCAUUGGCGGGGAUAUUGAACGUAUGAGCAGCAUUUUGAUACACCGGACCUCUUUCGGGAGGUGGUUGAGCUACAACGGGCGUACCAGCUCCUCCUAGUGGAUUCACUGGUAUAGUCACAACAGCAGGGUUGGUAGUAGAGGCUCUCAAAUUAGCCUGGCGCAUUUCCUCUUGUCCCCUAGCCAGAGCUUGUAGGGCUUCAACGAGCUGACCCAUCUGAGCCUUCAUAGUGGUCAUAUCCUCCCUCAUAGCAACUUGAUUCUGCUCCAACUGAUCCAUGAGCAAUUUCUGAUUACUGUGCGUGUAGUAUGAAUAUCGGGAAGUCAACUUGACUGUGGAUGAUUCUGGAUAGAAGGGCCAAAUGGUAAGUUUUCUGGCUUUUGUAUGAUGAUAUGCAGAAUGAUGCAUGAAUAUUGUAUUUGAAUAUUCUUUUAUGAUGCAUGAAUGCAUGAGUGAGUGAAUGAAUGAUACACAAGCAUGGUUCCCAUGAGUCGAACACACAAGUUGACAUGGUAUCACAAGUUCGAGAUACGGAUGGAGGAUAGCUCUGAUUGCUUACUCACAAUGGGGGAUCUCACCGGUCGAAGUCUAGGGUUAGAUAGGGACCCCAGAGUCAUCGAUUCAUUUGGCUGUUUGCCGCUUACGGCAAAAGCUUGCAGAUCGUCAACUCCCUCAAAUGAGCCUCUUCUGGGUGAGAUCUUUGUAUCGACCCACACGAGAAAAGCUUCUCGGGGGCCCGCACUACGCGACCAUUGACAACGGGUUUUAGACAAGGGUCUCAAAGUCACGAACCUCUUUGACUGUUUGCCGCUUACGGCAAAAGCUUGCCGGUCGCCAACUCCAUCAAGAAGAUCUACUUUGAGUGAGAUCUUCGUACCGACCCACACGAGAAAAGCUUCUCGGGGACCCGUACUACGCGACCAUCAACCUUAAUGGGCCAUAGGUUUAAUGUUCUACAAAGGUCCUUAGAGUCAUGGAUCCUAAUGAAGACAUUGAUCGCUUACGCCAAAAGCAACUGCCAGCAGUUGCAGAGGUUUUCUUAGAUGAGAUUCGCUGGUUCUCGUAUCGACCCUUACGAGAAAAGCUUCUCGGUGGCCCAUACUACUCAACCUCUCCUAUCUCAAGUUUACACUCUAGACUUGGGUAGAGAAUCUUUUCCACAAGGUUACUUGCAAUCAAAGCAGUACCCAUCACUACCAUUGAAUCGUGGAACCGCAUAAUAAAUUACAAAAUUUAAAGCAAAAGGCAAUAAAUAAGGUAAGCCAAUCAAAAGGAUAAGCACACACACGCGAGGAAGUAACCUAGAUUAGGCUUGACUUGCUUAGGGAGGUGUCCCCAGCAGAGUCGCCAACUGUCGCUACGCGAAAAUCAUAGAGUCGCCAUCGGUUUUUAUUUAUUCCAAAGGAAAGGGAAAAUAUCGAGAAAACCCCAAAGUGUGGUCGUCGCAACCACGAACAGGUUCGGAAGUCGGUUAUGCAAAGGGAAGGUAUUAGCACCCCUCACAUCCAUGGUACUCCAUGGGAACCAUCUAGGAUGUUUACGCUUACGUGUGUAUUGUUUAUCGAAUGUUUGAUUGCCAAAGGUUUGCGGAGUGGAGGUAGAUUUUAAAUUAGUGUGCUCGCCAAGGAAUGAAUCCUCGUGCCUACGUAUGCCCACUUGUUAAAGUGAGAAAUCAGAGCCUUCUUAGUUCGUGGUUUUGAAAUUGUUUGUGUUUGUUUUGUUGAUUUUAUUACCUUGAAGAAGGGUUUGCGAUCAUGUUGCCCUAAGGCUCAAACAAAAGGUUUGAAUGAGUUGGAUUGUUUUUAGGUUUUGAGAAAGUGUUAUUGAUUUCGGAUUGCACUAAAGACUAUGGAUAAAGGUGAAUACCUCAAACGGUCAAGCCAAACGUCUUUUUUAGGUUUUGAGAAAGUGUUAUUGAUUUCGGAUUGCACUAAAGACUAUGGAUAAAGGUGAAUACCUCAAACGGUCAAGCCAAACGUCUUGUGUUCGAAGCAUUCAGAAUGAGUGUAGGAAAGCUCUAGUCUCAUCCCUUCUUUAUCGCUUAAGGCUCGUGACGUACAAUCCUAAUCGCCAUUUAUUGUGUUUUUGAGUUUGAUUUGAGAAAGAGACCGCUUGACGUUGGAUCAAGGGUUUGUUUAUUGGUUUGAUUUGAAAAGAGACCGCUUGACGUUGGAUCAAGGGUUUGAUUCUUGAUUUCGAAAAGGUGAACGUUCCUAAUGCCUAAGGAGUGUCUAAUCAAGCAAUAAAAGAAAGCGAGUAAAUGCGUACACGAUAAAGGGGAGGGGGUACAUGUAAAGUACAAGGGAGUGCAGGAAAUAAAAGAUCUCAUUGUCAGGUAGCCCAAGAGAAAGCCUUGUGUGUGAAAUUGUGUCCUAAACUAGAAAGCAAGUAAAAGAUUACAAUUUGUCUUGAAUCUUGAAUGCUCCUUUCCAUGUUUGGGUUGAAUGAUUGUCCAAGGAUUUUUGAAAAGGAUCCUAAUGAGUCUCUAAGUCCAUUAUCCAAAGUCCAUUACAUGCUAAGGGAGUUAUCUUGUUUUUUUUUGUAUUUUUCAAGUCUUAUCCCUUUUUUAGUCAUUUUUAGAAUGAGAUGAAUGAAGAAUGUACAAUGAUGUAGCAAAAAUAAAAUUGCAUAAGGUAAAUGGCAAAAAUUAAAUGUUAGUAGCGGAAAUUAAAGGUUAGAUGUUAAUGUUAGAUGUUAGAAGUUAAUUGUUAGAAUUUAGAUCAAAGUAGAAAAUAUUCAAGAAAACACAACUAUCAAAUAAAAUUCUAAAAUCAAAACAAUUAUCAAAUGAAAUUCUAAAAUUCAAACACUUAUCACCAAUUAUCAAGAAUUUAAUUCUAAACAAAAUUAUCCUAAUUAAAUUCUAAACAGUCAACACAAUUAAUCCUCUUAAACUUCUAAUCAAAAUCAAUUCUAAUUAAAUUCUAAACAAAAUCCAUUCUACACAGUUAACACAAUUAAUCCUAAACAAUUGUCCUAAUUGUUAUUAAUCUAAUAAUUAACCACCAAAACCAAAGAAAUAGGCUAAUAAACAACACAACAGAAUGGGCCUUAGGAGAUAGGCCCAAACGCGUGGGGUGUUCAAUGGGAUAAGGGAGUUCCAUAAUGAAUUUGCUUGGGUGGUGCCAAGAGAAAAGUGAGUGGGCCUAGGAGCCCAAGGUAAUGAGAAAACAACAUGAAGGGAUUAACCUCAGCAUACAUCUCAAGCUCUCACGCAUGCUUCCCUGCUCAAAAUUCACAUCGCCGGAGCCGUAACAGCUCCGCCGCGCCGGUGCUCCCUUCCGGCGGCGAGCGAACCACCACAAUCUCCCUACCAAACUACCCGCUCUGACCACUUCCACCUGAAUCCUCCACUAACCUCCUCAAGUCCUCACCACACGUCGCGUUCAGCGACAAAGCUUCAAUGAAUUCACGGCGAACUGAAGAAAGACGACGGUGGUGAACUCAAGAUCUACUCGAGUUCCUCUCUCCGUGAAUCGUGACAAGGCACUACUUGCCUUCACCUCGAGCCAUUCUUCUUCUACUUCUCCUACCUAAAGCUAAAUGCAAGCUCUUCCUAAAUCUAAUGCGACUCGGCUUUUUGAUAGAGCGAAACAAACUUCGAUUCAAAGAGAGGAACGCCUCAACCGCGAUCCACACCACAACUCUCAAGUCUCACCAUAGUGCAAGAAACAGUCAAUACUCAGGGAAGAAAAUAGCUUACCUGCGAUGAAGGCAGCGAGGGAAUCGUCGACGACGUUGAACUCCACUUAGGUACCUUGAUAUCUCGCCUAUUUGACCUUCUUCUUGCUGUUAUUAUGAUCCGUGAUCGUUCGGUGGAAUUCACGUUGGCGGUUUCCGAUUUUGCGGUUCCUUCCUCCGGUUGAGCAAAAGUGUACACCGAAAGCCUCUCUGCUGACCAAGGUGUGUAAAAACUGGAGGGAGUUUUUCUGGUUUUCUAAAUGAGAAGUGGAGAAGUGCAUUGGUGCGUGAGGGGUAGAGAAUGGUGGAGGAUUCAGUUAGAGGUUGUUGAUGAUUGUAGAAGAAUAUCCAAGAUUCAUUGUGUAUGAGAAUUUGUUAUAUGCUGCAGAAUUGAGAGCGACGACCCCCGCUUCAAGGCCAAUCCAAUGGACUUUAUAGAGUUAUGUUGCAAUGGAUUUGGAUGAGUUUUUGCAUUUUUGCUUUUCAGUUGCCGUUUUGUUGUUGUUGCCUUUGUACGUGCAUCUUGUUACGCGUUUUAUACAGGCUCACAUUUGCCCGACGUUCACGUGUGGCUCGGCUUAAUGUCGGUGGCUCUUUGUAGUUGUGCACGGAUUGUUCUCAUGAUGUCGUUUUCAGUUUAUGCAGGUAUUUUAGCAGUUGGUGGCUCGUUGCCGUUUCGGCGCUUGGACGUUGGCUUUUGACGUGUGGACUUUUCAAUCUUUCCGCUUGUGGAUAGCAGCUUGGUGGCUUGUUGUGCUGCAUUGCAGUUGGUUUUGGAUUUAGCUUGCGGCUUAGCUCUGAGCUGUGUUUGGCGUUUCAAUUGCUUACACUAUGUUGGCUUAAGUUUUGGCGUGUUUCCUUUUCUUACAUUGUGUUGGCUUUCGUUGCCGUAUUGGCUUGUUGGUAGUUGCUUGCGCAGCUUUGUACUUUGCGUUUUGCAGCUUUUUAGCUGCAUUUGGAAUGUAGCUUUUGGCCUCCUGGAUCAUGUUUGCUGCAGGAUACCAGUUAGAAGUGGAAACAUGACAAAACUAGAUUAGUAAAUUAAUUAUGGAUACAUGGAUAUUGGCUUUUAAAACGGUUUAAUGGAUUAAAGGAAAGAAGGAUUAUGUAUUAACAUUGGAUUUUUGAUUUAGAAAUUGUAAAAAUGAUUUUUUUGCUUAUUGAAUGGAUAAUGCUUAGAGUGAUAUGGA
rnacentral:lncRNA from 1 species